rnacentral:lncRNA from 1 species
GCAUUUUGCCUCCUGCAAGCAUCAUCAACAGUUACUGGAGGAACGUAAUUCCAGAAAGCUUGAAAGCCGUGGUGAUGGUAAUUAUGUAUCAAAUGCCUGGUUCUAUUUCUGUUAUUAUUGUUUUGUCAUUUCUGUUUUCCCAGCGAUCUGACUGAACUCGCAGAGGGACAAAUCCAGUUUUUCUUUUUGACUUUUGUCAAACUAAAUCAGGCCUGAUAGAAAACUCAUUGCUCUCCGGGGAAACAAAGUAGGAGCCACGAAAUGUCAUUUUAACAGAGCGUGGGUUUGGUGACUGUAGGAAAGGAUUUGAGGACGCUCCUUCUGUUCGGCUUCCUAUGUCAUGAGCACAGGCUCCACGCACGCACAGACACCACGGCUCCCGGAUGCUGUGGCUCCCCGAUCGGGGCUCCUGCAGCGCCAGAAGCCCCUCCGGGAUGCUUCGAGGGGCUCCCGGUGGGUGGAGGUACGGACGCCGCUGCGGCCGCCGCCGCCAGUCCUGCUGCUGUUGUUGCUGCUGCAGUCACGUGGGAGCCCCUUUAAGUUUCCAUAGAGAGGCCUCUCUGGUGUCACAUGAUGGACAUGAUAUAAUGAAACAACAUUGUGGAGAGGAAAGCAUUAGGGGAGCCCACGGCUACAAAAACAAGUGAGUGAGAAGAGGUGGGAGGAAGAGAAACUACGCCACCUCCCCUGCAGCCGAGUGCACGCAGCAGCCUGGCGUGACAAGUGGGCGACGCCGGGGGGCAGGGAGCCGGGGUCCUUGGCCCUGGCCGGGGACCCCACCGCCCACCGCGCGGAGGACAACUUUUAGCCGGCAGCCCAGACCAGCGCGGCACCUGUCUCCGGAGUCUCCACCGCUCCUCCCGAUUCAUCCCAGGGAAAUUCUCAAGAAUACGCUCUACAAAUCUACGUGCGCAUCAUUUUCACCUCGCGUCGCGCCCGGGAGGAAGGAACGAGGCAAGGAGCUAAAGCAGCGUGCGUUCAGCCCUGGGAAGAAAAUACCAAUGAAUCAAUAUUAGGAGACAGAAGCUGUUAAGAAAACUCAGUACGGCCAGGCAUUUUAUUAAUGCUUUUACGAGUUAGAAGAGUUGGGAUAAUUUGCCAUCUGGAGUUUCUCUGCCUUGCUGAUCUGAGCUCAGACCUGCCAAUUUACCAGAGAUAAUUGAUAACACCCUGUAACAGCUGAGAGGAAAAUGGAAGAAACGGAGAUACUUUUAGUGAAGCAGAAUAAACCACUGAACAGGAAAAAUGAGGAAGCUGUGAGUACCAGUGGAAGGAACGAGCCAGGAAGAGGGACUGGAACCAUCUCAGAAGCCAUGCCCCUCAGGCUGGAACUUGCCCUGUCUCCUCGCAGAUGAGGUAGGAGGCUCAGCACGGGCUGGUGGGAGCAGCCCACAGCAGCAGUGAGGGUCAGUGGGCCUGUGAGUUAAGAAGAAGGUGGCACAGAGCGAGGGUCUCUGGAUCCUGACUGUUUGACUUUUCCAUGAUUAGGAUAAGUAGCCAGGGCUUGGCUAGUUGGAGAGUUACUCGAACCUCAGGUGACAGUUGUAAGGCAGCACAUAGUGAAAAAGAGUCCUAGCCUGGGAAAGUCCAAAACCUUAGGUCUGGUUUCAGUUCACUCACCUAUCUCUGUGACAUAGCAAAGUCUGUUAAUUUCUCUAAUUUUCUGAUUAGUAGUAUAGUUGCAGGAAUGAAAUAAAAAUGGUCCUGAUUACUCAGAGAUUCAUUUACUGAUUACUCUUUUUGUGACCUGAAUAAAGAGUACAACAUCUCUCAAAAGGUAACAAUAUGAUGUUUCAGGAAAUUAGAGAAGUUAAGAGACUUUGCUGUAUUUACUAUACAGAUAGUUGACUGACAGCUGAGCCCGGACCCAAGAUUCAUUUAUAAAAUGAAGGAGUUGAGAAGUACAUACUCUGAGGUUUAUCCUAAAUAAACUGAAGUCUAGGCAAGUGGCUGAGCUAGGUUUGCCAUGAAUCAAUCUGCUGAGUAUAUUUCUUGGUAACUAGUUCAUCUUUCCUUAAUUCAGUCAACAAAUAUGAUAUCAAGUUUAGUAAGAUGAUGACAGUUGUCAUGUAAUACUCCAUCUGGAAGAUUGUAUGCUUCUCAGCUUCCCUAACUUUUCUUAAUCUACCUUAAGCUUCCUUUCUGAAAGGUUUCUGUCUUUCCUAACAGUCUCUUCUUUCCGCCAGCUACCUCUUGUGUUUAAGAAUUAAAGGAAGAUGAGCUAGGAAUCAAGAAAUACGCAGAACUGAUUCCUGUCACUGGCGCCACCCUGCCACUUGCCCAGAGCUGUGGUAUAAAUUUUUUUAAUAGGCUGAAAUAAAAAUAUGAAUAGCAUUUUGGUAUUAAGCAUUAAAUUGAUAAAGGCUAUGAGAUACACCUGCUCUCAACCAUGUUAAUUUUUUAUUAUUGGUAUUAAUAAAUUAUUACUUACUAACAUAUUAACAAGAAUUGCAUUGAGAAACAAAGCAUCCACAGGCCAAAUCUUCUGAAUUUCAAAUGUUUAUAUUAAUGCGUUGUAUUCUAGAAAAGUAGAAUUGUCUUAAGUAGCUUUGUAAUAUAAAGUCAUCUAUCAGCCCAUUACACCUAUUAGAAUGUUUUAACCUUUAUUUCCCACUUUUUUGUUUCUAGACUGAGUGUACUUGGUCUGGUAUUUGUGGCAUAACUUACGGAACACAUAAGAAUGAUACAGAUACUAUUUAAUGAUGACCUAAUACAAGCUUAGAUAGCUAAGGUGAAAGCUUCUAUGGCCUUAACAUUUUCCUCUUGAAGAAUGUAUUUUCUGUAAUAAAAUACAGUGGCUACUUGAAAUCUAUAAACUUAUGUGAGGUCUGGAUAAAUCUGAGCAACUUUCUUCUUUGUGCUCCAGGAACCUACGCACUAUAUAUAUAAAUAAAGCUUAAGUAAACAUCACUGCAAUCUGUGUUUUGUUUGAUUAUAUUACGUAUUGCCUGAUCUUUAAAUAAUGAUGAAAAAUAGCCUUUAACAUAAACCAUGAAUGGAUAUGCACUUGAGGGAAACAGUUUCUUGGAUAAUUAAACUUUAAUUUCUCACCGUGGAUUCCUUGGAUCUUGUAAUAUUUUUUAAAACAGUCCUGGGGAUUUAUUUUUAAGGCGUCCAAAUGAAUUAUUAGUUCUCAAAAGCCAUAGUAUAUUCAUGGGUCGAUAUAUCCUCAAAACACUAUUUUUAAACUGCUUAGUUUAUUUUUCUUAGCGUGCUCAUCUGCUGCAUAAUUUUCUUUGCUAUGUAUGGGUCACAUGCUUCCUCCCGUCCAUAACUCACGCACUUAAAAUUCUCACUUCCUGAUUGAGCCAUCAGAUUACGUAAAAUGUAAAUCAGCCUGAAUACCUAGGAGCAGGAAUUUUAAGGGAGAAAAUGCCGUUUUCUUUUUCUGUGUCAUUAUUAACCCUUAAAUAUCAGAGUGAGUGUCUGCUCACCUAUUUGUAUUUGGAAACGAGAUACUGUUAGGGGUUUUUCUUGGCCCUUCCCUUUCAGAUUGAAUCAGACUUUGCUGCUUUCCUUAUACAAAAUAAUGUACCAACUAGAUAGACGGUGGGAGUGGUAUCGUUGCAGGAAUGAAACCAAAAGGGUUCCGAUGAUUGAGAGAGAUUCAUUUAUUUUUUAACUCUUCUCAUGAUCUGAAUGAAGAGUACAGCAUCUAUCAAAAGGUAACAACCUAAUAUUUCAGAAUUGCAAGUGGCCAUUUAGCCUUUCUGCUGCCUGAUAUAAAUGAAAGUAAUUCCUAGCAGGCAGGAUGACACUUGUUUUAUCACGAAUCUGACAAUCCAGCACAUUUUCUCAAGCAAUUUUGAAGUUGUCGUAGUAACAGCAUGGCAUUUGGAGGGUCUUUUUAGUAGUUCUUUAGCUAGAGUUAAUUAAUUGUAUUAACUCUGGAUGUUUUUCUUUUUACUCCUCUUUGACAAACAAGGGCUAUAAUUGCUCAAAUAUGUAUUUUGUGUUCUAUAUUUUUUGGUGACUAUAGUUUAAGGACGUGAUGUUUUUAAGUGGUUUCAGUAAAAGGUUAUCAGUUGAUUUCAGACACAUUAAACUUGGGUUUUUAAUUUCUCUGUAAAAUUCCACUAUCAUUGUAGGACCAGGAUUUAGUUUUAUUUAAGAAGUGAAUCUGGGGAGAUAUUUGCACAAAUUGAAUUGUGGCUUGCUUCCAGUGGUUGCAACUAUCCGUUGCUUUGAUUUUGGUGUAUUUAGAAAAAGAACUGGGGAAUGCAGAAAGGGAAAUGUGUCAGGCUUACAGGAGAAAAUUGUUUCUUUAGAAAUGCAACAGGCAGGCACACCACCAAAAGCAUGUUCCAUAAAAGAAAACAAAUAAAUUUGAUUUUGUGAAACUUAAGAAUGCAGUGCUCUUUGAAACUCUAAAAUAUACUUAAAUAAAUUCUCCCCUAGGAAGAUUUGUGGGAACUUUUUAUUGGUGGAAAGUAGGUUGGAACUUCUAGUAUUAAUAGUAAAACUCUGUGGCAGAAAUUCUUGCCAAUAUGGCGGUUGGUGAGAAAGGAAUCCCGUUUCUUGGGCAGGGAGAGGGUCAGAAGAAAGAAUUGUCUGUACUCAGUCUGGAUGCCGGGACUUAAAAAGUAUCAGAUAUACAAUGCUUUUGUUUUCUUGUAUAAGUGAACAGAGAGAUGUGACACUUCUAAAAGGUCUUGUGAGUUUUGUGGGUUUAAUGCUAAUGCCACUAUCCUUACUGUUCUGUGAGUAUUUGUUCAGCCACGGGUGAUUCAAGAGAGUUGGGGUAUCAGCAUGUGCAGCCAACAGCAGUCCAGGUGCUAAUGCACCACCGGUGAUGUCAGGAGUUACGAGACAGCGGUUUCCAAACACUGCAGUAAACAAGGUCAAAGUGUCCCGUUUCGCUGGAAGAAGUUUUGUUUUUAUGAGCUGGACAGUACAUGGAUGAAGUAAUUUUUCAAAACAAACUUUAAAUUUAUACAUGUGUUUUUUUUCUUCUUCUCUUUGGAUUAAAAUAAAUUGGCCCGUUGAGAUUAAAUAAUGGUUAUGUUUUUAAGCAGAAUUAUAUUUCAUAUGUUUUUCCAGUCUUUUAUUGAUUUUCUGUUUUUCACAGAAGAAAUGAAAAUAACUUCUGAUGUAGGGUUUCUUAAAUGCAGUUUGAGAGAGCAAGAUAGGAACCAGUACUUUCAAAAUAUGGCAAGUGCAAGUCACAAUCCCUAGUAAGAUAUUCCUUCUCAUUUUGUGCCUUUGACUCUUAUUUAGACAGACGUUUAAGUACGAGAAAGCUAAUGGCGCAGAUUCUGCUGACUGUGUGGCUCUCGUCUUAAUGCGUUUUCCAACCUUGAACCUGAGAAUGCCAGAGGAUUGAGUCUCUGGACGUUCAUCUGAGCAGAUAUCUGCUGGCCGCCUGGUUCCUGAGCUAACAAGUGGGUGUCCCGGGCUUGUGUGUGUAGUCACAACAGUGGAGGUGCCACGUGGCACCCAGAGGUCGACUGGGGCUACCGCGGGGCUUCCCGAUCCUCACAAGUGUGUCUUCAGUGUCUGACAUGAACUGGGAACUUGGGGCAUCUUUAGAAGCACAGACAUUUGGAGUUCCACGGCAAACCUGGAUGUAAGCACUCACACAGCUUUUAAAGUGAAAGCAGGGACCUUGAGGAAGGAAUCGCCGUCAUCUCAUUGCCGACCUGCUUACUGUGCUGGGAAACAAAGUAAGUUCUGUUUGUUUCUUUGUUAGUCUCUCCUGCGUGUUUUUUCUUGCUAAUGUUAUUAGACACUCAAUAUCCGGCAAAUGCCAAGUUUUUUCCCCUUCAUUGGGAAGUAGGAUAUAGUUUAUUCAAUAGCUGAUUGCUUCUUUUAUCUUUUCCCUCUUCCCAUAUCUAGUGUGCCGGCUUGCUGUUUAGAGAUAGGAAGAGAUUGAAAUUUAUUAUCAAGGAGAAAACAAAAAGUGUUUUGUUUUGUUUCUAAAUGGUCCAAGAACUUUGCCAUUAGGUAAAUGACUAUGACACAGACAAGGCGUUUUGCAUGGUAUGACCAGGAGCACCUCUAGCAAAACAGCCCCAGUUCGCCGCCCUGAUUUCCAUUUGGAAGCAGGCACAGUGGGUUUCCCCAGGACCGAUGUUAACGCAGAGGGUCCUUGUGCAGGAAUUGUGCAGAAACUAGGUGGGAAGGUGUCACAGACAAGAGGCUGCAAUUUAAAAACGCAUCAGGAAAUGGAAAAGAGCUGCGAGAAUAUCAAUUAUUUAAUGAUGUUGAUAAAAACAAAUUUAAUAUAAAAAUGAGAUACAAUGUAUAGAGACCUAACCCUGUCAACAGCAACUAAACUUUACUUUCAUGUUAGAAAGUUUUGUGCCAUGUAGAUUUAUGGAAAAUGUGCUUAAUUGCCUCUAGAAAAUAAUGAAGAGGCUUCGUCACCUCCAUAGAAGAUCCUGUGACACUAGCCUAAUUCUGACACAUGGCUCCUGUUUUCCAUUUUGUUUGUUUUUUUAUGCUGAUCCUCUCUCCAGAGAUGUGAUGUGGAUUGAUUAACUUGUAAUAUAAAGUUCUAUGGUUUCUGAAAAUGCAGAGCAAAUAGAGAUGAAGAGUGGUUUGUGAUUUGUUAUUAAAUGAUCUUCCCUUCUACAUUUAGGACUGAUUUUUACUGUAGAAUUUUUUUUUUUUUUUUUUUUUUUUUUUUUUGUCAACUUGAACAGCAAUACCUUGAAGGUAAAAGGUGGGAGCACGACUGGAGUGUGGAACUGGAAAGCAGAAACCAGGGGUGUUACUUCUAUGUCUAGUAUGGAAUGUUGUGAAUUUAAGUUAGAGCUUCUGUGUCCUGGGAAUUCAUAUUUUAUCUCAAAGUGGUGCUGAUAGGACUGGAGGUAGCUGUAUUUCAUUUGAAACAUUCCAGCCUCUUUAUAGGAAUAUCUGUGAAUUUUUAAUUCAGCAAACAUCUUUAAGUGUGUCAUUUAUGUAUAGCGUUGUAGUCAGAGCUGUAAUUGUUUCACCAUUAAAUUUACGGAAAUUCAGUUUGUAAGUGAAAAAUUAAGAACAGUUUGAAAGAAGGGCGAAUGAGCAGAGCAUUGCCAUCUAAACAGUCUUGUUAAAGAUAGUGCCAAGUGAGCAGGACUGUCCCUUCUAAGCUGCCCCUCCUAAUUAAAGGGAAAGGUGGCUGCCAUCUGUCUUCUUUCAUUCAAGGCAGUAGGGGGUCUAGGGUGGAAGGAAGCAACCCCCACUUUAUUUUUCUCCCACUCUUUUUUAUAGUCAGCUUUCUCCCUAGUCAGUGACCCAGAAGGUCAUUGAUGAUCUGUCUAUCUCAGAAUGAAUAGUAGCAUAAGCACGCUUGGCACUUGCAAAAAAAAGAAAGUUUAUAACAUGCACUGAUCCAUUUAAAGUUCUGCUUGAAUUAUGUCUGAGAGUAUUGUAAUCUCUGUAUUGGUGUCUCUGCCCUGUUUGUUACCAAGGGCACUACUGGCAGGAAAAGUGGGGAGUUUUACUUUUAUUGAUUUUGCUUUUUCAUGAAAAAAUGUUUACACUCCACUGGGCAUAAUCAGAAGAUGGCAGCACAUGGCUAUGUACAGGAGAUGUGGGGAUGUACAGGAAUAUUGUUCUUAUCAAAAUCAAGGACACCUAUUAAUGAUGAUACAUAUAUGUCAUCUCAGGGGAAAGCAUGAACAAGCAUGGCAACAGAUGUCCAAGUUACUCAGUGGCCUGCUGCAGCUUUUUGGACCAGUUAUUGAAAUAAUUCACAUUGUUUAGCUUUUGUUAAGCAAUAAGGCUUUUAGCCUUUUUCUUGUAAGAAUACGUUGCAGGAGAGUUUAGUUUGGGGUCAUGUCUUCAUUGCUUUGGAAAUGUAGAAUAGUCCUCCAACAAAAUGACUGCAUUUGCUUGCCUUCGUUUCCACCUCUGUAAAUAGAAGAAAUAUCUGCUGUUUUUAUAAAUAUAUAAGAGAAUAUGAAAUAUUUUCCAUCUUUCAUAAGAACUGUGUUAUAACUGAAAAAUUCUCAAAUCUUCAGUUAUGUUUAUUUUCAAUUUUUACACACUUAAGCAAGGUGUUAACAGUCUUCUAAAGAGAUUCAGUUGUUACAAGCCUUGUUUAGUUCCCAAGUAGCAGGUAUGGACUUCUCAGAACAUACUGGUUUUUAGAACUCUCUUUGUGACACAGAAGUGUGGUAUUUCUUAAACCCAUAACAAUAUAUUUGGAGAGCUCAAAUGUGAAAGUCAUGUCUGUAAUUUUAUUUAGAGCUUUUUUUUUUUUUUUUUUUUCCAAAUUUGUCACCAACUUGCAACGAGCUUUCUUGGAAACAUAGACGUGUUUAUGUUGUUGAGUCUUGAGAUGAACAUGUGUGGGCUUCUGACGACACUGAUGCCCAGUUUGUAUGAUUGGAUGAUACCUGAAAAGUGGGUCACUUCCUAGUCAGUGAAGGGUACACAGGGCUGAAUAGGCAGGGCUUUUUGGCUUUUUCCGUGCUUUUGUUUUUGUUUUUGGUGUGUGUGUGUACUAAUUUUAGAUACUCAGCUAGGUACUUGACUGGCUAUCCUUUUUAGCAUGUGAUUUAAUUUGGUUUUACCCAUCAGUAUUUAUUUCAAGGGGACUAAAUAAACACAUUAAAUGAAGCACUUAAGAACUUUCUAUCUUCUUUUGACUAUCCACAGCGGUGGGAAAUCUCUGUCCUUUGAGGGUAGGAGGGAGCCAAUAGUUAGGUCUCAUGAAUAUGGUAGGUGAUCAAACCACUGAUUCAAGUCAUUGUUUCAUGUUAUAAACAUGGACUGAGCCAGCUACUACAUUUCAGUAGAAGGUACUGUAGAUUCAAAAGUGAACAUGGGUCUGGCAUUUCAGAAAGACACAGGUUAGUGAGAUAAAUGACUAUAAAAAGAGGUAGCACUGUAGACUGAUGUCCUGUAACAGAGGUACACGUGUGCUGUUAGAGCCAAGAGGGGGUCAAAAUAAAAAGACAGGGCACGGUGGCUCAUACCUGUGAUCCCAGCACUUUAGGAGGCUGAGGUGGGAGGAUCACUUGAGGCCAGGAGUUCAAGACCAGCCUGGGCAACAUAGAUCCCCAUCUCUACAAAAAAAUAAAAUAAAAUAAAAAAAUAAGCCACACAUGGUGGCAUGCAUCUAUAGUCCUAGCUACUUGGGAGGCUGAGGCAGGAGGAUCCCUUGAGCCCUGGAGUUGAAGGCUAUAGUGAGCUAUGAUCACACCACUGCACUCUAGCCUGAGCGACAGAACAAGAUCCCAUCUCUGAAAAAAUGGAUGAGUGAAUUAAAUUUCAAAAUAGAGAUUUAAUGGAAAAAUGAGAAUUGUUGUGUACAUGAUUUAUGAAGUGGCUUACAUAAUAUAAUUUUGGACAUGAAAGCCCUGAAAAAUAGCUUCUUAUUUUAAGGAUGAACAGACUGGGAUUUAUUUCUGAAAUUCUAUAAUUCUCAGUCAGUUGUAAGGCUUUCAUUAUAUAAUAGACUUUUUUUUUUAACCAACGGAAGUUGGACCUCUUCAAAAUGUGAGAUCCAAAAAGGUUUUGGAUAUUGUUUGAAUAACUCUCUUCUCCAAAGGAGACUGUUUUUGAAAAAUGAUUCUUUCUGACAUGUUAAAAUUGAAUAUUUUUGACACGCCAAAUGCACCAAAGUAUUAUAUGUCAUGUUUAUUGCCGAGAGUAGCUAUAUAGCUUGUGGGAGACAGUUAACGUGAAGCUUUCUUGCAUCUGGAAGUAUGGGGAGAGAGAAGGCUUCUUCACACCCCCUUUCAUGUUAUAUUCUACAGGGAAAGAAUUUCUAUCAUGUAGACACUAGGUGACUCCCUUGUGGAUAAUUUCAUUUAACAAUGAUUUCUGGGUGUUGCUCUAUGCCAGGCACUGUUCUAGGAGCUGAUGCGAAGGCUCAGCUGAUGGGCUACAGACCUGAAGGCCUGUGCUCCUCAGUGGCACUCUGUAGGUAGAUACAGAGCCACCAUCUACUGGGUGCUUCUCCUGAGUGUGACAGUGUAGGCUGGGACACGAUGCUACCCUUCAAGGAGCUUGAAGCUAAGGUUCUGUGCACAGAUAAAAUUAGAAUAAAUGCAGAGAUGCUAUAACAAGAUGUCUUAGAAAAAAGAAAAACAAAGAAUAAAUGCAGAGAGAAAGAGAAAUGUAUAAAAGGUAGAGAGAUAAACAUACCACAAGUUCAUAGAAAAGAAAGGUUGUGUGUUUAUCUGUGGCUGGGAUGAUCAAGAAAUGCUUCAUGGAUAAAGAGCCUUUGAGCCAGACAUUGAAAGAAAGGUAAUGUUGGACUUGAGGUCUUGGAGUAUCCUCGUUGAAGGAAACAUGAGCAAAGGCAUAGGUAGGGAUGGGAAAUGCCGGGGUGCAGAGUGGGCAGGAAUCGAUUUGUAGUUGCUGGGCAAUGAUGUGUGUAAACCACUAAGGAGAAGAUCAGGUAGCAAAGGUCCUUGGAGGCCAGAACCCAGAGGGCCUUGAAUGGCACGUGACUAAAUGAUUUAAACUUAAGUUACUGGGGAGCAAUGGAAGAAUUUGAGUGGCUAGAGUCCCCAUCCUGAAGAGGCCUUGCGGGGAUCAGCAUGUGGGUGCCUCUGGACUGUGAAAUAGCCAGAGCUGGGAAGCCUUUUAGAGCUGCUGUUGUGGUCCAGGAGGGAGGUGGGGAGGGCCUGGGUGAGGGGAAGGCCACUAGAUGGAGAAAUUGAAUUUAUGAGAUGGGAUUUAGGAACUGCCUAGAUAAUAGGGGUUGGCCGAUGGGAAGCAAAAAUGCCCCCAGAGCUUUGAACCCAGGUGCCAUUCAUUAUUUCUAUGCCAUCUGCCAGGCAUUGCAUAGCUAUUAUCUCAUUUAAUCUCCUCCUAAUCUUGUGGGUUGGUAUUUUCAUCCUUAUAUCAGAGACGAGAAAACUAAGGGUCAGAGAAAAUUAGCAAUUGGUCUAAAAUUGUACAGUUGUAACAGGAUCUAGAACAGGGACUUCAGUACAGGCCUCCCUGACCCCCAAGCCUGUGUUCUUUCUACUGUACUAGGCUUGGAAGACAGCGUACGUGAGAGCAAAGACAAGCUCUGUCCACUCUGUGCAUAUUCAGUGUAGGUGCUGGUGAGAUUCCCGCCUUCAGGUGUCCAGCAAGUGGUUGGAGACAUGGAGCCGAAUCUCAAGGACAUUGGGAGGAUUGAAGGUCAAGGCUUAAGAACCAUCUGCAUCCUCAUUUAUUUAUUCAGCAGCUAUUUGUUGUGUCUUCGUGGACCAGCUUGGCAGCAUGAAUGCUGUGACCAACAAGAGAGGUGUGUCCUUCACGGAGCUGCCAGGCUGGGAGGGAGCCCUGAUGGCGUGGCUUGAGUGUAAGGCAGGAGGUGUGCAGAUUGGCUGUGGGAACUUACUGGCCUAACCUUGUCAGGUCAGGGAAGCUCUCUAGAGGCAGUUGUGGUUCUCAACAUGAGACUCAAAUGAUGAGGACCCAGUUAAAAAGUGGGAAAACAGCAUACCCCAGGCCGUGGAAGUAGCGCGUACUCAGGCAGAGCAAGAUAAGAACACAGUGUCUUUAAACCAAAAACCACGUGUGGCUGGAAUGGAGGGAAGAGCAAGGAGAUAAGACAGGUGAGCAGGAACCAGAACAAGAAAUGCCCUGGAAGCUGUGAGACGCUUGGAAUUCACCUGUGAAGAAAAGAGUAGCCUCAUCUGAAUUCCUUGCCUCGAUUAUGGUCUCCAAUAGAAGAUUAAAUGGCUGUGGAGUCUAGAGGUUUUUUCCUUCGGUGUGGGCAUCACCCCUUCUGAAAGGAUGGUGUAAUGGCUAAUUGUAUGUAUCAGCUUGGCGAGGCCACAGUACCCAGAUACUUGGUCAAGCACCAGUCUAGAUGUCGCUGUGCAGGUAGUUUUUUAGAUGAGGUUUAACAUUUAUAUCAGUAGAAGGAGUGAAGCAGAUUAUCCUUUGUAAUGUAUGUAGGCCUCAUAUAUCAUCAGUUGAAGGCCUUAAGAGAAAAAGAUUGAAGUCCCUAAAGAAGAAGGAACUCUGUCUCCAGUCUCCCUUCAGACUCAAGACUGCAACAUCGGCCUGGCACGGUGGCUCACGCCUGUAAUCCCAGCACUUUGGGAGGCUGAGAUGGGUGGAUCGCUUGAGAUCAGGAGUUCAAGACCAGCCUGGCCAACAUGGCAAAAACCUGUCUCUAUUUAAAAACACAAAAAUUAGUUGGGCAUGGUGGCAGGCGCCUGUAGUCCCAGCUACUUGGGAGGCUGCGGCAUGAGAAUCACUUGAACCCAGGAGGCAGAGGUUGCAGUGAGCUGAGAUCAUGUAACUGCACUCUAGCCUGGGCGACAGAGUGAGACUCUGUCUCAAAAAAAAAAAAAAAAAGACUGCAACAUCAACUCUUCCCUUGGUCACCAGCAUGCCCUGAAGAUUGUGGAUUUGUCAGUCCCUGUAAUUGCAUGAGCCAGUUCCUUAAGGUAAAUAUCAGUAUCUACCCCCACCCCCACCACUCUCUCUCUCAAUCUCAAUCUCAGUCUCUCUCUCUCUCAAUCUCAAUCUCCCUCUCAAUCGCCCUCUCCCUCUUCCUCUUCCUCUCCCUCUCUCCCUCUUGGUUCUGUUUCUCUGGAGAACCCUGACUAAUGCAGAUAGGAAGAUAAAUAAAUUUAAGUUGUUUGGCUCCAGUUGGUAUUAGCAGAAAGCUGCAUCAGGCUUCUCUAGGUGUUCUUGGUGUGUGCGUAUAUUGCUUUUUGUAUAGAUGAGAAUAGUGAAAUAUAGAAGGGAAGUGAUGUACCCACAGUCAUGCAGACAGUUGAUGGGAGAGCCAAGGAGAAAACUCAAGUUUCAAACCUCUGGUGUAGUUCAGUCGCUUUCUUGCUAUUUGGCCCUCAUGUUUUUAUUAGCAAGGUAAUAAAGUUAUUGAGUUUGCCAUGCGUAAUUAUUGGUAAUGUUUAUGGAAUGUUCUCUGUAUGUCAGGUGCUGUUUUAGUUGCCCUACAGGUGUUAGUGAUUUUAAUCCUUACAACUACCUAAUGAGAUAGGGAAUAAUACUAUCCCAUUUUACAGAUUUUAAGCAAUGAGUCCAGUGAGCGAUGUGGUCAUUGCUACACAGCUAGUGAGUGACAGAGCUGGACUGAAGACUCAGGCAGCCUGGCUGCAGAGGUUGUGCUAUUGACUACUCCACCGCUUCUCAGCUUAAUGCCCCGAGCACAGCUUUUCAUCUCUCCCUUUGGAACCAUUGUCCAGAAUAUUUAUUAUGGUAGUGUGCUCUUGGUAGGGCUUGUAUUGAAAGAGAAAAUGCUUAUAAGUUAUUUUUCAAGAGACCAUCCGAUAAUGCUUCUUAGCUCCUUGAAAAACAGAAAACAUUCCCAUUACAGCAACACUGUAGACCACCUGCUGGAGUAUAUUUUUAGCAACUAGACUUUGCUGUCUAGCCUAGUGACACUGGUGGGCAUCUGAUUUGCCCAGGGUCAUACAGGAGCGUGAUAAAGUGGUGAUAUGAGUUGGCUCCUGGUUCAGCAUUUUGGGGUGUGUUCUGGGGGAGAAAAUAGCAAACCUCUUUGUGUGUGUCCCUUGGAUCUUUGAGAGAACAAUCAUCAUAACUCCCAUUUAUUAGGUCUGUUGGGUGCUAGAUGCUGUUGUAAGUGCUUUAUAAACAUUGUCUCAUGGAAUCUUCUCAAUAGCCCUGAAAGGCUGGCAUUACCAUCCCAUUUUACAUAUAAAGUAAGCAGUGAUUAGGGAGUGACAUUUCCAAAGCAAGUAGCAGAACCAAGGAUUAAACCUCAUCUGAAUGACUCCAAGCCAGUGCUCUUGGUCACUUGGCUAUGUCUAUACUGGGUGUCUGUACUGGACCUCUCUCUGUAUAUACUGGGUAUCUAUACUGGAGCUCACCAUUCUUCCCCAUAGACUAUGAACUCCAUAAGGGACUUUCUCCAUUGAUUCACCACCAUACUUCAGCACCUGCCAAGUACACUACCUGACACACAGUAGGUACUUAAUGCACAUACAGUCAUGUGUCAUUUAACAAUGGGGAUAGGCAGUUUUGUCAUCGUGUGAACAUCAUAGAGUGUAUAUACAUAAACCUACAUGGUAUAGCCUACUACAUCCCUAGGCGAUAUGAUAUGGCCCUAUUGCUCCUAGGCCACAAACCUGUGUGGCGUACAGUACGACUGUACUGAAUACAUUGUAACACAAUGGUAAGUGCUCAUAUAUCUAAACAUACCUAAACAUAGAAAAAGUAAAGCCCUGCAGUGUGUUACAGUGGCUACAGUGUCACUAGGCAAUAGGAAUUUUCAGCUCCAUGUAAUCUUGCGGGCCCACCAUCAUGGGUGCGGUGCACCAUUGACUGAAAUGUUAUGCUGCACAUGACUGUAUAUUGAGCGAAUAACAGACUCAUUGUGUUCUCUGUGAUCGCUUCCGAAUGGCGAGAGGGCCAGGGCCAAAGGGCACAGACCUGUGAGUGUGUUAUGGACUCAUGUGGGUUUAGCCUUCACGAUAUAUAUGAAUAUAUCAUAAUGUGUGUAUCUAGUGUGUGAAUAUAUAUCAUAACUUAUCCACUUUAUGGAUAUCAUAAUUUAUCCAUUUUAGUGAUUCCAGGACAUUUUGUCUAUCUAUGCUUUUUUUUUUUUUUUUUUUUUUUUGAAAUGGAGUCUCACUCUGUCACCCAGGCUGGAGUGCAAGUGGCACAAUCUUGGGUCACUGCAGCCUCUGCCUCCCCAGUUCAAGCGAUUCUCCUGCCUCAGCCUCCUGAGUAGCUAGGACUACAGGCACAUGCUACCACACCCGGCUAAUCUUCGUAUUUUUAGUAGAGAUGGGGUUUCACCAUGUUGCUGGUCUCAAACUCCUGACUUCAAGUGACCUGCCCGCCUCAACCUCCCAAAGUGCUGAGAUUACAGGCAUGAGCCACCGUGCCUGCCCUCUAGCUAUGCUUUAAGGCAGGCCUAUCAGCCCAGACUGGAGUCAUGUAAUACAUGGCUCUGUCAGUAGCUCUCCUUCCCACAAAUAAGUUUUGAUGAUCUUACACUCAUCCCUGCCAUUAGCAUUCAGGACCAAUCUUCUAUAGCCUAUACGCCACACUGGUCUAGGACAGCACCUAAAUAAUACUCAUGCUAUAAAAAAUUCAUCAAGUUAUAUAUUUUUAAAAACAUCCCUAAAAUUAUCUUUUUCCUUUACUGAAAAGAAUUUCAGGAUCCCCUCUCUCUCACUGCCUCUCUUCACACACACCUACCUUAGUUGGUCACCUAUUUUGUAAACAUAUCUUCUUUAAAAAAAGAAAGAAAUGGCAGUACAUGAAAAACUGCUUCGUAAACAGAAACUAUAUUAUUUAUAUUUGUAGCAUUUUUUUCCCCUUGAGGUUAAUUUCCUUUGCUUCCCAUAACUGGAAGCCAAUGAUUCAGUGCCAUUAUAUAAGCUUAUUUUCCCUCUUGGAAAUAGUAAAUUAUAAGAGGUUUGACCCAAAAAUAUACAUCAAAAUUAGGCAGUAUUCGGUGUUUAGCCUCCAUCUGCCUUGUCUUCUUGUCUUUAGUUGUGCAAGUAGAUGCUGAUGAUUUCUGGCAGAGCUAAAGUAAGUAAAUCAUGUGAAUUUAUUUUUUUUCCUCAUAAAACAGAUGGCAUGGUCUAGCUCUGGGCUUGUAUGUUUCAUGAAGUACAUGGGUCUGAGUGCGUAUUUAUUUUGUGAGCCAAGGUUUAUGCCUUCUUCUAUAAUUUUCUUUCACCGAAAAUUACCUGGAGAGCUAGAAACUCCAUUUGUGUCAGUGUAAGAAGCUUUAGAAUCUAUAUCCAGACCAAGGCCAUGGAACAAUGUAGAUUCACUCAGUAAAAACUCACUAGCGGCCUUCUUUGUACUAGUCUGUCACCUUUGCUUGGCUUUGGGAAGCUUCAAACUAGGGCAGUUUAUGUUUGGGAGUGACCAGUCAAAUAGCAAGACAGACAUAGGCAAGGAUGUAAUUUUUAAAAAUUUAAGUGGGGAAUGGUGAAGCAUGAAUCAAAACAGAAGGUAGUCUUACCUUCUUGGAACUGUAAAAUAAAUACAUUUGAAAAAGGCACCCUCUCAACCUUCUGCGAGUCAGAAUUUUUGCUGCCACCCCUCAUUUUGAAUCUCUAUUCUGCAUUUUUUAUUCUUUUUUUUAGGAAGGAGGAAGAAAAAUUUCUCCUGAAGAAUUCAUUGGAAAUUAAAAUUAACUUGCGUAUUUUGUAUUCUUUGGAAUGUGAUGAAGACUGAUUUGAAAGGGCAGUGCUGGAUUUGGUCAGGCAUAGGAAAGGAAGACAUGCAGUCGUCCUGCCUAGCUCAUCCCCGCCACGAUGGAGAAGUGGGGUUGCUUUCGUUGUACUUUUUUUCAUUUGUUUCUUGCCAAGCCCAGUGGCUUCUGUUAUAACAUGUGGCAGCUUCUCCCUUGGAGACUGAUUCAGUCCAAGUUACCAUAAUAUUUAGGACCAGCUACAGAGACGUUUCUUCCCCUAAACCCAUGCCAAAUCUAAAUCAAACUAUCUUCUUCUCCUUAGCCGUUCAAAUAGCUCCAGCUCUUAUAUAAAAAUACGAGAAAUACACAGGCCUCUUUUCGUUUUAUUCCUGUUCAAACAGAUAAACAAACAAGGCACAUCAUGCCUAGGUUGCUUUGAGCUUGAUCACUUCCUCCUAAAGCAGUCUUACGCUGUGUUGAUUUUAAGAAUUGCAACUUAGGUGUUCUAGAACAUAUUCUGAGAGCAUAGUCAUAGUCUGUGAUCUCAGAAUAUGUUUGCUUCCUUCUAGAACAUCUGAGUUCUAGAAAUUGCGUACAAUAAACUGCUGUCAGUGCUGCUGGAGGAAGGAAGAGUAACUCUGACAUCACUGGCCUUCAACAGGUGUGGCGCUGAGCUUCUGGGCCUCAGAAGCCCUGACUUCUAGAGGCUGGGGGCCAGCGGGGCAGGGAGGUGAUCUCAUCAUGGAUGGCCACAGAUCAUCCACCUGCCAAACAGUUAACCCUGAACAAGUCAUGUCAAUUUAUUUUGCUUUUAAAAAAGAAAGUCUGCAAAAUAGAAAAAAAAAAAAAAAGAUUCUUCAUAAAUACAUUUGUUCUGAUCUGUAAAUACCCUGGUCAUUUCCCCCUUGGCAUUUGAUACACAUAGUAUAGACAUAUUUUAGUCAUCCUUGCUCAAGUAAUUAUAUUCCAUAACCAACUUUAUUAGCAUAAAUUAACUUCCUCAUAUUUUUAGCAAGAGUUACUUUCCUUCAUUGCUUAGCUUAUUGUUUUGAAAUAUGAAUUACUUCAGCACAGUUCAUUUUUGUGGAUGGCAUUUCUGUCUUUUUAAUUUAUAAUUAUUUGAUAUAUACAAAAGAUGGUAUGUAACAUACAAGUAAACUCUAAAGCACAAUUUUAAAGGUGCUCCAGUGAACCACCAUCCAACUUAAGAAUUGGCUCAUUACAAAUACUUGGAGAUCUCGCUAAGUAUCUUAUUCCUAGCAUUUUCCUGCUUUCCCACUAUUCCGAAAUUUGUAUUUAUAAUUAUCCUGAUUUUUAAACAAACAUAUAUUUUUAUCACAGUGUAAUGAGUAAAUGUGUGUUGCUAAAGGUAUUUUGAGACAUAUAAAAAUAGUAUCGGACUUUGCAUGGUCUUUUUGGAACUUGAGAUUUUCCUCCAUAUAUUUGCAAAAUUCAUCCAUGUUUUCAGGAAUAGCUACAGUUCCUUCAUAUUGCCAGAAUAUUCUAGUGUGUGAAUAUAUCAUAAUUUAUCCACUAUCUUAUUUAUUGAGGGGGGGUGGGAAACAAGGAGCUCUUUUUAUAGACAUGUUGAGUCUGAGAUCUCUAUUAGAAAUCCAUUGGAAAUGAGCAGGCAGGUGGAUGCUGUUAUUCAGGAGAGAUGACUGAGAUGGAACUAACAGCGUGUAGAUGGCAUCUAAAGCAUUGUCUUCCCAACUAUUCUUAGAAUGAUGGGCCAUUUAGCCCAUCAACUGAGAUUUCUGUGUUAACAGUUUUUUGUUUUUUGUUUUUUGUUUUUUAAUUUCUUAAAGGUCUAUCUGGUGUUUUUUGUUUGUUUGCUUUUUCCCAAAUCUGCCUGGUCACUUUGUUCAAGUGUGACUUGUAAGGGAGUAAACAAGGAGAGUAUGAGCUUCAAAGAAAAUGGGGGGAAGUAUUUUGCCAGCUCUCAUGGAGUUUUGUGAGAUCCAAAAGAAAUGCUAUAUGUAAAUUUGCUUUGUAAACUGAAAAAAGUUAUGCACUCAAUUAUUAUAUUUGAUGAUGGCACCUUGUUGGGUUCUGGUUAAUGCCUCAUAUUCACUGAGUGCUUACUUUAUCUAUAUUAACACAUCUCAUCUUUAUAACAAUCUGUGAGAAGUAGGUACUGUAGAUUCAUAUUUUACAGAGGAAAGUACAGCUUAUAAAUGGUAGACCCAGGAUUUGAAUUCAUAGAGUCUGCUUCUAGAAGGUGUGUUCUUAGCUCCAGUGCUAUGCUGUCAUAUUGAUUUCCUGCCUGCCUUCUCCUUCCUUCCUUCUCCCCUCCCUCCCUCCCUUCCUUCCUUUCCUUCUUUUUUUUUUUUUUUUUUUUUUUUUUUUUUUUUUUUUUGAGACGGGGUCUCACUCUGUCACCCAGGCUGGGGUGCAGUAGCAUGACAAUAGCUCACUGUAGCCUUGACCUCCUGGGCUCAAGUGAUCCUCCUGCCUCAACUUCCUGAGUAGCUGGGACUACAGGCACAUCCCACCAUGCCUGGCUAAUUUUUAAAUGUUUUGUAGAGAUGUGGUCUCCCUAUGUUACCCAGGCUAGUCUCAAACUCCUGGACUCAAGUGAUCCUCCCACCUUGGCCUCCCAAAGUGCUGAGAUUACAGGUGUGAGCCACCACACCUGGCCAUACUGUCCUUCUUUAAAUGACAGGUUUCUUCCCACUCCUUCAGCUUCAAGAGUACAAACAUUUUAGGGUCACAUUUCAGCAUGUCCACCUUGAACCCAGCUACAAAAAUCCUACCCCAGGCAGUGGGCCCCCAGCAAAGGGCUGUGUGUGCUGACCUAGUUUCACCACCGAACCCAGCCCCAGACCUCACAGGGCACUGCUCACCUGCCAGGUGCCCACUCUGUGCUUGUUGAAGAUGGUGUCUUCUUGAUUUCACUUAUUUGCCUGAAGCCACCCAAUAAGUCAGUAGUGGGCCAGAGAAUAGAAACCAAGUCUCCUGCCUUUCAAGUGUCACAUUUGUUUUGUGUUAAUAAGCUAUAUACCUCCAGGGGAUCUGGCAGAAAUUUGAAGGUGGUUAAUUUUACUGCAAUAAAUACUUAAGAAUCCUUUUUAAAGCAAAGAAGUCAAGCCCCCGCCAGGGAAAACACAAUCUGCUCUGAGGGCCUUUGACAAACUGACAUGGGCACUAGGACUAGGUCAUGGAUCAUUGGCCCUUGAUUCUGUCUCCCACUGAGCAUCCCAAAGGGGUUGAGACCUCUGCUGGAGCCACUAGGCUUCAGCCGGACCUGGAAAUGUUCUCGCAAAUGAAACUGGAAUGCAUGAUGUCCUGGAUUCAGCGGGUCACAGCUGACUGCCAUCAGGAGGUGUGACGGAGAAGGUUCCAUUUCUGUGACCCUGUGGUGAUACAGGUCGGGACCCAGGCGAAGUAGCUCAGCCAUCUGAAUUGGCACCUUUCUGCUUUUCUCGCUGAGUGACGGGUGCCUUGCAGUUGGCUUCAGAUGUUUGUGAAUGUGCUGUGUUUCCUAAAGCCAUGUCAGUCAGGAAGAAGAUGCAGGUAUUCAGGAGAAGGGAGAAGAAAAUCUGAAUUAGAAACAACGUGAGGAUGGGGAGCACAGGGAGGGAUGGGUUACCUUUGUCAUCAGAAGAACGCCAGGCAGAUUUUAGUCCCUCAGCUAAUAAUACUAUUUGAAAAAUUGAUGGAGAAAUUUAACUGGAAGGUUUCAGCAAGACAAAAGCUGCAUCUCCAAGGCUGGACUCAGCGUGUUCACGUGGGAACUGGGUGUGAGUGUAAUUGUCAGAGGGGAGGGUUGUCACAGGAGGUGCACGAUGUGAAGUCACAAGGGGACGCAUUAUUUCCAUGAGUUCUCACAGUUCCCAGGGCAGCCACAGAUGGUAGUGGUUUAUGUCUGCCUCUGCCUUGACAGAAGGGCAGUAGGCAGUUGUGGCAAGAAAAAUGGACCAAAUGAGGGCUGCACUCAGCAGGUUAAAUUUGCUGUCUGUUAGUGUUCCUAGGUGAGAUGCUUCAAAACUAGAAUGCUCUGCUGGGACUUUUAUUUCCCUUAGAAAUAAAAGGCCAGGCGCGGUGGCUCAUGCCUAUAAUCCCAGCACUUUGGGAGGCCAAGUCGGGCAGAUCGCCUGAGGUCAGGAGUUCGAGACCAGCCUGGCCAACAUGGCAAAACCCCAUCUACUAAAAAUACAAAAAUUUGCUGGGUAUGGUGGUGGUGGGCGCCUGUAAUCCCAGCUACUUGGGAGGCUGAGGCAGGAGAAUCACUUAAACCUGGGAGAUGGAGGUUGCAGUGAGCUGAGAUCGUGCCCCACUGUACUCCAGCCUGGGAAACAGAGUGAGACUCCAUCUCCCAAAAAAAAAAAAAAAAAAGGUUCUUUGUUCACACUUUCUCUGCGCUGCUGCAAGUGACUUUGGUGCCGUUUCCUGCAGCCUGUGUCGGUGGCUGGGACUUUCUCGACAGCAAGGCAGGCCGUGCAUGAGGCCUAUAGGACCCAGGGCUGCCUCCCAAUGCUGACGGCCCUGCGCUGUGUGAGCUUGGGUAAGCCAGUUCGGCUCACUUCACCUCAGGUUCCUUGUUCCUAUGUGGACGGGUUGCUUGUUUGGAGGAUUAAUAAUGAUGGGGAAUGCAAAGUGUGGUUGGUUUUGCUGGGGAAAAGAGCAGGGAAGUAGAGACCUAGGCAGGUGAUGUCACCUCUCUGAUGAACUCCAAGGUCUCUGUCAACACCGGUGCCUUUGUCCUGACAUUGCGGGGUUUGUGGCAUGAUUGGAGAGACCUUGCGUGCUCUCUGGGCAGCCCUUGUUAGUGCCCCCCAACUAGCUGGGAGAUCCAGAGUUUCAUGAGAACCCUCCCUCCGUGACAAAAUCCGCCUUCCUCGCUGUCAGGCUCAGGUUGUCCUGUGCCCCCACUGAGCCUGCUCAUUAUUGAUUAAUGAACUUGUAAAAUGAGAAGUAUUGUUUUACCGGAAGCUACAUGUUUAUGUGGUUGGUAAAAAUGAGAAGAGUUGCUUGAGAACUGGUUCUCCUUUCCAUGAGUAUAUACAAGGUUCAAAUCUGGGCUUUGUGGUUAUAAGACAUGUUGAGUGAAUAAAAAUGAAGGAAAUGCUGGGCAUUUAUCACAAUUUUUUUUUUUUUUUUUUUUUGAGACAGGGUCUUACUCUGUCACCCAGGCUGGAGUACAGUGGCACGAUCUCGGCUCACUGCAGUCUCCACCUCCCAGGUUCAAGUGAUUCUCAUGCCUCAGCCUUCCGAGUAGCCAGGAUCACAGGCGUGGGUCACCGCACCCGGCUAAUUUUUGUAUUUUUUGUAGAGACAAGCUUUCGCCAUGUUGGUCAGGCUGGUCGAACUCCUGGCCUCAAGUGAUCCAUCCGCCUUGGCCUCCCAAAGUGCUAGGCUUACAGGCAUGAGCUGCUGCGCCUGGCCUUUCACAAUUCUUAAACUGUUGACUUACAGAAACACAGACCUGUAUGAACACACAGAUCACUUUAGAGGUCCGUCUCAGAACUACCUGCUGUCAUGAGUGAUGUACAGAUAAAAUGUGGAAGAUCUAGAAACUAGUCAUUCCUAAUCUCUGCCAUAAGUAAACAUUUUAGUUUAAUGUUAAAAGGUCACUCAGGGUUAUUGUGAGAUUUGAUGAGAUCAUGGCUACAAGGAACCUUUAACUGUAUGAAUGAAAAAUCUAAUGAAACUGCAAAGUCACUCCUAUUUACUAAAACCAGUGUAGUGGCUGUUUCUGCCUCUUUUCUUUCCCUCCUCCCUUCCCUUUUCUUCUCUGUUGUUUCUGUCACUUUCCUCUCCCUUCUACCUUAUUUUUUUCUUCCUUUCCUUCUCCUUCCUCUCUUUCUGGCAUUAGCAGUUUGUUUGUUUGUUUGUUUUUGUUUAUUUUGAGACCGAAUCUCGCUCUGUUGCCCAGGCUGGAGUACAGUAGCCCAAUCUCGGCUCACUGCAACCUCCACCUCCCGGGUUCAAGCCAUUCUCCUGCCUCAGCCUCCCGAGUAGCUGGGAUUACAGACGCCCGCCACCACACCUAGCUAAUUUUUGUAUUUUUAGUAGAGAUGGGGUUUCACGAUGUUGGCCAGGCUGGUCUCAAACUCCUGACCUCAGGUGAUCCGCCCACCUCGGCCUCCCAAAGUGCUGGGAUUACAGGUGUGAGCCCCCACACCCGGCCCUGGCAUUAGCAGUUCUUACACAAGAACAGCGUAGGCAUGAAUCCUGCCUUCAUGGCACUUACACACUAGCAGAGGAAUCUGGCAGCAAAUAAGCACACAAAGGCAGCUGCAGGGUAUGAUGUGCCGUGACGUAAAGGGACAAACACCGUGAGAGUCUAACUAAAGCCUGGCAUGUGUCAAUCCUAUGUACCUAUUCAGAAACUAGGGUUCAUGACGGUGCUUCUGUUGUUACCUAGUAGAAGUAGCUUUGUAAGCACAAAGAUUGUAGUUUUGUGAAGCUAUCUAGUACAGAGUCACUCUGGAAGUUUAGCAUUAUAGAGUUUUUUCAUAGAAAGGAUGGAUAGAUACAAGUUUUUCCUAACAAGCACAAGUGGCAGUCUUUGAAAACUAAUUUUUUAUGUGUACAUUGUAGCAUUGGAAGAUAACUGUGGUUGAGUGUGAUAAACUGAAACUUUUUAAAAAAUCUAUUAUUUUUUUUACAAGUUAAGUUAGAGCCAGAUAUGCUGAUUCUCUACCAUUUUCAAAAGAGGAAUUGGAAAAGGGAGAGCUUGUUUAUGUGGUAUUCACAAUAGUGUCUGCUCCUGAAGAAAAUUUUUGGAAAAAUCUCAUGAGUGUCCUCAGACUAAAAACAGGGAUCCAGUCUGUUGUUCAUGCAGGACUCAGGAGGCGAGCGAGCAUGUGAUACCAGGAAGGGUCCCAUCCCUGCCCUGCUGGGGAGCCCUCAGUGGCGAGGUGGCGAGUUCAGGCUUCACUUCAGAGCAUGGAUACUGCUGCAUAGGUGCUGGAAGGGUGCUGCAUGGGUGCUGGAAGCUGCUUGGCAUAGUGCAUGUCCUGUUUCCUGCCACUUGGAAAGAGGACUGUGGAAGUCAGGUCUUCCCAGUCCUCACCAGUAAAGCAAGCAACGAAUGCCUUCAGUCCAGGUAAUAUGUCCAGGCUUUAAAUUCUCUGGAUCUGUCUUUGGAUACCCUGGGAAAAGUCUUGUCUCUUCUUAGGCCCUUCUGACUAAAAGCAGCCAGGACUUUUAAACUGACUAAUUUUUAAAGAUUUCCAAAUAGAGAAAAUUAAAGCAAAAAUUUUUGAAAGCUGAAAAUGAUCUUUCCAACUUUUCUCAUUCAGAGUAGAACACUGGAGCAUUGAAAGUUUGUUCAUGUUUGUGAUUGAUCACAUAUUUAAAAAAUUGUAAAAUAAAGACCUUAUUUUAAUGUUAAAAGUUCACUUCAACACCAUCAUUUCUACGAGGUUCUAGGUCUUUUGUGAACAAAUUAAAUAUAGUGCUUUCUUUAUAACAUGAAUUAAAUCUAGAUCCCAAUGAUAUUUGGCACCUUCUAAAUACCCAGAUGGCCACUGCGUUUGCCUUGAAGUGAAGACGUGUGUAGAGUUUUAAUCACAUGUUUUAUUUUUUCUCUUUUAAAUAUCGCCUUUUCAAUAGUUGCUUGUUAAUGAAUGACUGAUUGUUUACUGCAGUUUAUAAUCAGGAAUUUGAACAUUAAAAAAUUCUAAUCAGGAUACAGGUUAAAAAACACUUUCCCUCUCAUUCUCUCUUUCCUUAUGCUAGAACAAUAAAAAUAAAUUGUCCUCCCCUUGAAAACAUAGUAGUUUAAGAAAUUUUAUCAUUCUCUUCUUGAAAACUUAAGUUUAAUAAAACAGUUCAGAGGAAACUUAAUUAUAGUUCUUAUACUAUAAAAAGCUCUUAUAAAAACAGGGGUAGGGCCACAAUAAAUUUCACCUCUUGAGCAUAACCACCACUUGAAAAAGAAAGAUGUAGUUAAAAAAUUAUUUUUGCUUUAUCUUCUCCAUUGUUUAAUGCCUGAACAUACUUGGAUUUUUUAACAGCAGGAACAAGACAGAAGACUUUGUUAGCUACCCAGGUAAGAUCAUUUGAGUCCAAAGACCAGAUUCCAGAACAGACUGCAGAUUCCUGUUGAGGACAUGGGUUGUCAGGACAGCCUGGAGGCAGAGGGGUAGAUUCUGUUGUAGGUGUCGUAAGUGACAUUUUGGAUCAGAUUUUUAACCCUCUUUUGUUUUUGAAAGUGAGUAAAUAUUCAUAGCAGAUUAUUCUCAUGAAACAAGACUGACACUAUGACCUCAGGGAAAGAGUGCUUUGGGGGGAACUGUGUAUUUAAUUAAGCAAAGAAAGAGCUGAUGAAAGGGGCUGAGUGUCUCAGAGCUGUUGUUUCUUCUGCCGAAUUUUUCCAAAUAGGAGCACAGAAGUCCUGAGAACACUGCCUCUCUAUAUGUUGUGCUCAGUCCACACACUGCCAACAAAUGUGCAUACACACACACACACAUACACACCUCAAAGACAACCCCUCCAGCCUGUGGUUUUCCUGAAUUAGCUUUCCCAAAGUACCUUGAGCACUAUGGGUUCAGACUGGGGUUUGGGUUUGGUGACAGCUGUCAGUGCUCCAAAGGCAGAGGACUGAACUUAGGGCAAAUCUGUGGCAACAGAAAGCUCUUUUCUGUUCCAUGAAAGUCAUGGAUGAUGCUUUCAGAUCCUGUCUGCAAAUUGCCCAACAUCGCAUUGAUAAUGGAAACAAAUGAUCUGACACUCACAUAGCUAAAUAUAAUUUAGAAUUUUGAUGUGAGGUUGAAACAUGAAAGAUCAUGCUUUUCAAACUGCUGUGAUGACUUACACAGACAAUUCAUUUUAGAUAAUGGUGAGUUAAGCCUGGCAGCCUCUGAGCGUUUUCCCCUCAUUUGUUCAAACACCUGCAGUUGGGUACUGAUGCACAUGUUUAAUUGCUUAAACUUAAAUUAUAAAAUCCCUAAAAGGAUGUUUUUCUCCUAGAAAAUAAGUCAGGUCUCUUGCAAAGGCUGCCUGCUUUCAUGAGCUUCUUGUAUUUCCCGGGAUGCUUAUGCGCCAGCCCCUGUUAGGUCUGCUUUUAAACACAGGAAGUUGAGCCCUUCAGGGAAAGUGCCGAUGUCUGAACCAUCAGCAAAAUCACUACACCCAUUCCCUGGGAAGUCUAGUUCAUCAGAAACAAGUUUAAUUCGGGAACUGUAGUUUAUCCAGGUUCCGUGAAGGCAAUUAGCACUGGGCAAAGGGCUGUUUGAUCAGCCUAGAGAGAGACCGCCUUUACGCCUAAAGCUCCAGUCAUUUGUCUCUACUCCCGCCGACUCGCAGCGGCCACAGAAGACAUCAGAACUGGAUGAAAAUGGCCCUGCCCCUGCGACAGAGCAGGGCGCUUCUGGCUUGCGCCUUGUUAUUUGUCCCUCCAGUGGUUCCUAGCUGUUGUGACGUCAAGGCUGCCAUUCAGAGCAGAGAAAAAGGAAACCAUGGCCUCUCUUCGCAUCAGUAGCCCGGACAAGCUGUUGUUUCUCAGGCAUCCAAAGCGCUUUCUGUCUGGCAGAGCUGUGCAUUCCAUGCCUGGGUGACCUGGUUAAAUGGAGGAAACCAAAUGCUAUCCGCUGAAUGCUCUCCAAAACAAGCACUCCGCCCUGCGCGUCUCAAGCACAGGCUUCACUGCCUCCGAGGACUGUGAAGGGAACAGCAGCACUGCCUGCAUUUGCUGCUGGCAUAUUCAGCUUCUGGUCAGGGUCUUAAAGGAGAAAAUAACAUCCUCAAUGGCCUCGAUUAAUGCACACUCACCAACGUGUUUGUGCUGCCUUUGGGGUCAGUGCUACAAAAUCCUUUUUUAAAAAAGGAUUCGGAAUCACAGUCAGAAGUUCAAAACUGCUGAACUGCCACCUCUUCCUUCCUGUCUCACUUCGGCUCACGCCAUUCCCCAAUUUCAGGUUUCUGAAUUCCAGAAAGGCUCUUGUGUAUGUGAACAUAUUAAUCUUGCACCGUGCCUUACUGAACGUGUGUAUGUUUUGCACACACAUGAGAAAGACUCACAAGUAUAAUGCGUGGAUCACAACUCUAGGAUUUUCUCAAUGAAGAGUAACACCUUAUGCUUUUCAGAGAAAAGGGGCUAUUUCACAGUGUCACAGAACUCUCCUUAGGAGCAAGCCAAGAUCUCUGUAGCAAACAUCAAUCCUGCAAGGCCAAAAGCUCACUAAUAAAGUUCUGAUCACGUAGAGUGACUGCCUAAGAAUUGACCAACUUCAGACUAAAUUUUCUGAGGACAUACCUUCUUGGGUUUCUUUCUGGCAUGAGAGACUAUUUUAUUAGAUUCUUGGAUUCAAUUAUAGUCACCAGAAAAAGCAAGGUUAUAACAACCACGCUUUGUGUUCCAGAGUUGUCUUAGUUAACUCAGUAUUCAUUUGAGGUUUUAUGUUACAAAUCCCAUUAAAUCUUUCUCAAAAUAGCCCUUCUCUGAACAUUUGAUGGAAGAAUAUUUGCAGGAACCAAAACCAUUUGAUAUAUACACCGGUAUAUGUCAGGAAGGAUCGUGAUACAGGGGUGCCUUUUAAAAGUGGGUUAUUAUACGACAGAAUUCUUCCAGGUCCCUGACUCUUGUCUUCUGAAAAAAAAAAAAGUGGAGAUCUUCAGAGGACUGGAUAAAGACAGAAUGGAUGGGGUGAAUUAUGUAAAGUUAGGAUUUAGACUGAGGGUUUACAGGGCUGCAGUCUCGUUUUGCCUCAACAGUCAGACUUGCCCAGGGUCUGGCCUAAUACCAUACAAAUGUCAUAUCCACAGUGGCAUUGAUACAGUGGUGGGAAUGGGGCAUGGGGGUGAUGAGCAUAGCUUCUUGCUGAGUGCUCUGGUCCGGGUGAGCCUGAGAUCUUGAGAGAAAAACUAGGACAUUAUUUCCAUCGUGGGCUGAAGAAUUAGUUCUGCUACUUGCAUAUCAGUUAAUCCUUUUCUUUUUUUUUUUUUUUUUUUUUGCUAUUACUACCAUUUCAGGAGGUACUUGUUAUCUGAAGAUAACUGAUACAGGACCACUACUGCUGUUUUAAGAGGAUUGACUUAAAACUGAAUCACACAUUUAAAAACAAACAGUCACUUUUUUUUUAAAGAUCUUAUUGGGACUAAGUCCUGAAAAAAAUAAAACUAAAGUUGAAGUUUAGUUUGUUUUAUAUAAUAGAAAUUUGGGAUAUGAUGCAACAGCAUGUUAUUUCUUAGAAGAAAGAUUGAAUGUUGACUUCUAAAGCAGAAUCAUAUAAAGAAGAUGAUUUUUGUACAAGCAUUCGAAUUUCCCCAAAGGCCUCUCUUAAUCUUUUGAUAUACAAACCAUUCUCUUGAAGAGUCUACCUCUCAUGUAAUCACCUCUGUUGACUUUCUCUUCAAUUGUUAACUGUUGAAACUGUCUUUCAUCUUGUCAGUGACCCUAUGUGAUUCAUGCAGUUUGCUGGUAUCAUUUUUAUCAACUGUGUGAAAAUCUGCAAUUCCACCUUACAAGUGAGCUACAUUGGAUUUUCAUUUUAUUCUAUGACAUUAUUCAACCAAGAAAGUGAGCAAGAAUAGAUGCUGAUGUUAAUGAGGACUAAUAAUAAGUGAUCACUGUGUUUGUCAAUAUUUUUAUAUGAUGAUGACCUUUGCUUCCUUAUGCAACUUGGUAACUACAGGGAUUCAGAUAAUGAUUACUCGAGUAAUGAAUCCCCACCCCCUGCCAAAUAUUAUGUUGUGUUUAAAGUACUCAGUAUGGUUUAGUGGGCUUUAUAAUCAACCACAUGUAGAUUUGGAAGCCACCCCUGACACUUCACUGAGUUCUAUAACCUUGAGUGUGCUAUUCACAGAACCUAAGAUUCUUGAUCUUUUAUGUAGAGUAACAAAACCAACCUUGCAUCCUCUAGACAUUGUAAAGUCACAGAAAAGUUUUGAGGAAUGCAGCGACAUGAAUUUUACUACAUUUUAGAAGACCACAGCUGGGGACUCUGUAUGCCCCGCAUCAGCUAAUACCAUUUGAUAGCCAUUUUUUUCAUGGCAUAGGUGAGAACACUAAGGCCCAAGGAUAUGAUGUACUUUCUUGGCAUCACAUGGUUUGGUUCUGGCACAGCCAGGCCUAGAACCCAACCUUCCUACUGCCUGCUGUGUUUCUUCACCACCCAGUUGCUCCUUGGCAAGUGAACCAAUUACAAAGGCUGUCUUACUUGUCCAAGGACAGAGAGAAAGGUGCAUCCUGGGUGACUGGAAAUGGGAGUGGGAGGGAGAGGAUGGAGGCAGCAGACAUUGAAAGUAAGUAUUGACUAGACUUGGUGACAGAAUGGCUCAGCUCGGCUCAGUGAAGAAGGGAGUCCAGAGGCCAAACUUUCAACCCUGGUGGGAUGGCUAUACAGUUAAGUAAAGUAAAAUCAGUAGAAUGGUGUUGGUUUUUUUGCUUCAUGAUGAAUUUAAAGGGACUGCCUUAUCCAGAUAGAAAUAUGUUAAAGAUAUAGGUAGGAGAGGUAGCUACCAUUAAAGAUACAGAUUUGAGAUUAAUGCCACAGAAGGAGAGCUGAAACCACUGUACUACAUAUAACCGUGUGUGUGUGUGUUGCACAUGUGCGCACACGCACUUGUGUUAAACUGGAUUUGUUGGCGUAUCUCCAAUUCAAACCUGGGUCAGGUGAUUAUGUUGUAACUUACUGCCCAGUUAUAAUCACAAACUGUUACACCUUCAUCAGAAGGAAGAGCGAGUUCCCUAGAUCAGUGUGUUUGUGUGUUUGUUUUGUUGGAUGGAUCCUGCCGAGGCACUGAGAGACAGACUUUGCUGGGCCCUGUUUUGUAAACAAAUCUGUUCACGCACGCUUUCUUCUAUCAUUGGAUGUGUACACUGGCUCUGAUUUUCCCACCCGACACGCCAAAGCCUAAGCAUUUAGAAGCUUGUUUUCUUUUAGAAGUAGGCAGGCACCAAAGAAAAACCUGCAUAUGCAUUUAAAGUGUGCACAUCUACCCUAAGUAAGUCUUUGGAUCUUUACAGUUUUAACUCUGGGCCAUGUACAGUGUAUUUCAGCCCACUACACACGGCAGACCUGCGAGACGUCCUGACAGCCCCCACAAAACUAUGGACUGAGCUUAGUGCAAAAGAGAAAGCCCUUCUUACCCUUAAAGUUCACUGCACGGGCCAUUGUGGGAUUAGUCACCCCAGAUGAUAAAACAUAAUACUGGUUUUCCUAAGUAGGGGUGAUUCAGCUUUCUCUUAGAUUGGAAUAUGAACUUAAUGUAUAUAAUACAUACAGUCACUUCCUGAACUUGUAGUUUUUUGCAUGUUUUAUUUAAUAUUCUAGCCAGGUUUAAGUUUUUAUGGCAGGAAGUAUGUGAAUGGUUAUGACAGGAGUAAAUAACAGUUGAUUUUAUGAUUACAGUACAGGAAGUAACUUUUCACACCAAAUAAAUCUUUGGGAAAAAAGUGCUGGCUUAUAAAUUUAACGUACAUAAAUUUUCCAGAAUCUUGCAUACAGUCGCCUGUGCUCUCUUAAAUGGAACUAAAUACCUGGCUGGUCUUUUUUCUUUUAACUUUUUUUUGUCAACGAAUGUCUUUGUUUUAGAAAGAGGCAUUUUCAAGUGUUUUGAUGUGACCCAACGUGACCUAAAACCAUUAAAAGAUUCUAAGCAAAAAUAAUAAGGCCAAACUUUAGUGUAAAUAGCAUGAAAGGCUUGAAAACUAAAUAAAAAAUUAUUUUUUCCUUUAAGAGUAAAUAGCUAGGCUAGGCAUGGUAGUUCAUACCUCUGAACCUGUGAACCAUUGCUUUGGGGGGCUGAGGUGAAAGGAUUGCUUGAGCCCAGAAGUUCAAGACGAGCCUGGGCAACAUAGCAAGACCCCUUCUCUAUUAAAAAAAAAAAAUAGCCAGAUGUGGCACACGCCUGUAGUCCCAACUACUCAAGAAACUGGGGCAGGAGGAUCACUUGAGCCCAGGAGUUUGAGGCUGCAGUGAGCUAUGAUCACGCCACUGUACGCCAGCCUAGGCAACAGAGCGGGGGGCUCUGUCUUAAAUGACCAAAUCAUUUUUCAUCAUUAAAGCCCGGGAAGCCUCCAAACUGCCACCGAGUCAAGUUCCUUCCAGUGACUCCUAUAGCCAUGAUCUGCAGGCACUUGGGAGGAACAGCCUGUUAACAUCAGAGAGGCUGUUGCAUGUGAACAAGUUUACAGAGAAGAGGAAAGAAUUGGAUAGAACUUCAGUUACAUUUCAUUGUAAGCAGAGCUUUAACAGAGGCUUUGUUUUUCCUUGAAUAAAAAAAUGAAUAGCGGGAAUACAAGAUUUAGAGAAGAUUUCUUUCUUCACCCUUUUCAUCUUAAAGCCUAAAGAUGUUGUAAUGAGAAAAAUAUUGUGACAUUCCUUUCUGAAGGUUACUAUUACACACACGUGAAUUAUGUGAACGAAUGGGUGGAUGCCUGGCAGAUUAAAAUGUGGAGUUCCAGAUGCAUUCAUAACCACCAUGUGGCUAUGACACAGUGGCACAUCAUUGGGCUGGGAGUGAAAGGAUGAAGGUUCAGACUUCAGCCCUGUGUCUGGGAGCCUCACCCAACCACCCUGACGGAAAACAGGAUCUCUGAAUCCCUUCUACCUCUACAACUCGGUACCACACAUUGUGCAACUAAGUAACUUGCAAGUUAUGUGAAACUGUUUUCACAGGAUCAGCAGAGUUACCACUGCUUCGUUGUCCUGAAUCUUCAUUACAUUUUUACAGACAAUAUAUUUGCAUGUGACAUGAUUAAAAAUCUACCUUGUGUUUUUAUGGUCUUUGUAGGUUUUAAGGUAGUUUCUUAUAUGCUGUUUUCCUUGCUGUGCAGCCAACCUGGGUGUUACUGGCAGACAUGCUGAGGGCAGGCUCUGGAUGUGGAGUCAAGGUCAGGCUCCCUGGCUCUGAAUCCUGGCUCAACCACCUACUGAUUGUGUAACCCUGGGCAUGUCCUUAAGCACCCAGGGCCUCAGUUUCCUUAUCUGUAGGAUGAGGAUUAAAAAUAGAACUUACCUCCAGGGCUGCUGUGAAGAUUAAACGAAUGGACGGAUGUGUAGCUUGUGGUAGCGCCUGAGCUGGCCCUGCAUGUCAGUGUGCUGUUCUCGCUGAUGAUGAAACUGGCUUAGCGAGGUUGGGUGAUAUGCAUAAGAGCAAAUUAGCAAAAAAGAUGAGCCAGAACUCAAACACGGCCUUAGGACUUCUCAGUGGCUGGUGCCCUUCCGUUGUGAGACCACUCUCUCUCCUGCCUAUAAAAGUGCCACGAAAGAGUGCGCUCCAUUUCAUUGUUUAAAAGAGAACUGAGUAAAUGUUAAACAUGAAGGUCAUUUGUCACGGGGUUUUACUUUGUUUGGAGAGGGUGGACUCUAUAACUCUUGAAUGGUGUCCACAGCAUAGCAAGGACCUGGACAGCCUCCAUGGUUUCAUCACAUUCUCAACAUCCAGCCUUAGAAAUAGCUCCCUUUAGGUCACCAAAUUAACAGGAGUUUCUAAAGGAUAGCAGCUUUUUUGCAACUGCUGCAUCUGUUAGAUUCAUGUUCUCUUUGCUCCCUUCUCCCCAAGCUUCUAUUUCAUGAUCUUUUUGUUGUUUUGCUCUACUUUUCCUCUUUUUAAAACCUCUGCAUUGGCCACCCAGGAUUUAAGAGGAGCUUUUCUGGAAAGCUGUCUGAAACAGGAACAAAUUACACAGAAACACUGAGAGCUGUGAACUUGUGUGUAUACCUGACAUAGUGGGAGAGGGGGGCUUCCUUCUAAGUAAUAGAGAAGAGUGAAUAUUCUAAUCAUUGAGUAGUGGUCAGGCCUGUAAUCACUGCUUUUUCUUUUGCUGAGCUCGGUAUCAACGGACAAGCUCAAAAAUUGUAGCUAUUUAAAAUUACUCUCCAUGUAAAGGGUUCCUGUUCCUUUGAUCCUAUCACAGACUUCCUUUUUUUCUAUUGAGGAGGUUCAUAAGAUCUCGUGGGCAAGGGCUGAGGAGAUGACUAUUGCGUAGUGUAGUUGUUUUAAAUUAAAAAUUUACCUCUAGUUAUAGGUGCUACUUUUUACUUACCCUCAAUUUGGAGAUUACAUCAUGCAGGCUGGGCACAGUGGUUCAUGCCUGUAACCCCAGUGCUUUAGGAGGCCAAGGCGGGAGAAUUGCUAAAGGCCAGGAAUUAGAGACCACCCUGGGCAACACAGCAAGGCGUCAUCUCUACCAAAAAAAAAAAAAUUAUCUGGGCAUGGUGGUACUUACCUGUAGUUUCAGCUACUCUGGAGGCUGAGAUGAAGUGAGACCCUGCCUCUAAAAUAAAUAAAUAAAUCAAUUAUGUAUAUCAGGCAAAUGAUUUCCAUACUCUUCUUGUUAAAAUAUCAGUUUGGUAAAGAUGGUAAAAGCUUAUCACAUCCCAGGAAGUCGAGGCUUCCGUGAGCCAGGAUCGCACCACUGCACUCCAGCCUGGGCGACAAGAGUGAGACCCCGUCUCAAACAAACAAAAAAAAAAAGUGAAAAUUCCCUUUCAGAAUUUCACAUCCAAAAAUGUGAAAUAAAAGAGUUGGGGUCUAAGUGGCAAAGUGCUGCCGUGUUUCAAGUUAAGGGCUUCCAUGGAUUGUGUGAUAAAUACAGGUGUGAAUGUGGGUGAUUUGUUUUAUUCUUCAGUGCCCAUUAAGUAGAAGCUUGUAUUUUCCUCCUUCCCCCUUCAAGAGCCCCCCUCCCCACCAUGCAGGCACAUGGAGGCCCCAAGUUGGAAGCACAUUCACAGCCUGAAGCUGAAGGACAGGCUCUGAAAAAUCUUUCUUUCAGCAAAACGUCUACUAAUCUCAGAAAGUGAGCUUUGUCACCAUUGAUACUCUGUAAGGUGGGAUGAAAGCAAGUUUUCUUACUCAUUUUGCCCAGUUGUCAAGAAAUGCUGCCCUUCUCUCUAACAUAAAUUAACAGGUUUGGCUACAGCCUAGAGAAAUACAAAAUGUCACAUUUUAGCCUUAGUGGCCGGUUUUCAAAGGGUGCCUGAGUGUGAACACCAUGUCGGCUGCUCUGUUAAUGUGACUGGGUCUCAUAAAUAGGUAUUUUUCUACCCCUGUGAUGGACAAAUCUGAAAAAGUUUUUUCAUCUUACAAGCCCAGAGGAUGGUAUUUAGAGGCUGAUUUUUGGUAUCUCAGUUCCUGGUAGGGAAGACGAAUUCCGUAUUUGAAAUUUGGGGACAAACAAAAAUAAUUCUUUCUCUUUCCUUGAAGGGUUAAUGCUCCAACCAGCCUCAGAUUGGUUCGCUUGAAUCUUAAAAUUACUUUUCUGGUCACGCGCACCGAAGGUCUAAGCAUUUGUGAAAUGUCUUUUUUUUUUUUCUUUCCUCUUGAUGCUGUUCUCUUUGGGCUGUCUUAAUUACACAGGGGUUGAGAAACCAAAUUAAAAUUAGGCGUGUCUGGUCAACAGUGAUCACGUUGCAUGCUUUUAGCUUUGCUUGUUGAAGUUGCUUCUCCUCCCCGAGUGGCUUUCCUCCCCACAAUUUUUUUUUUUUGAAGGAAAUAUCAUAAGCUCUUUCAGAAAUACUCACAGGAAGUGAGAGUCCGUAUGCUGGUUACUCACCAGCAACUGAGUGUUGGCAGGUGGAGAAUGCUACCGCAGCCCGCCCAGACGGAUCUGCAGACUGGCCCCAUCGCAGAGGAUUAGACAGAGGGUGCAUGGAUCAUAGGGUUUUUGAACAGAAGGGAGUUUUAAGAGGAAAUUGGUCACUGCGUGUCAUCUCGAGGGGUGGUGAUUCAGGGAGCAGGGCUGGGGGUCAGAAGGCACGUGGCUGCCAUCUCAGAGGUUGCUGCUCACUUCUCAGAGGGCAGGCUGGCUUCUAAAAAUCAACGCUCCCUCCACCCCCAAACAGCGAUUCUUCUGCAGUGAAUCACUUCCAGAAAUGAAUAGCCACAGUUUUUUGGAAUGAACGUUGUGAAAUCCCUCCUUUAUAAUGGCAGGUUUUCAGUUGGUGGUUUUAUCAGAAUUUCUCAAGAUCAAAACGAAACCUUCUCUUUAAAAAGGAAAGAAAGUACUAUCGAUACAGAAAGCAAAAGUAUUUCCAGUCUCCUACUGAACUGUCACGGCAGACCUCUCUGUAUCUAUAUUUAGAGCUGUAUGUCCAUAUAUUUGCCUGAAUGUGUGAGUUCUUGGAAGUAUGGAUUCAUUGCCAGGAGCUGGUGAUUUCCUAAGCAGAGGUCGCUAACUACAAGAAAUGUUACACUCGGUGAGUAGGUGGUACUUUCUGAAGAUUAUUGGUAACCCAGUGUUGGUCGUCUUGAGUCAUGGAUUUAAAUGACGGCUAGCAAGCUCUUAAACACCUUCUGCUUUAUAUGAUACAGAGUAUGGAACUGCAGGACGCACAGACAACUGUGAAGGGUUUUUAAGAAUAUGGAUUCAUUGAAUAAUCAGUGAAUCUUGUGAAUAUACUAGACCUUUGGAGGAGGAAAGGGUGUUUUACAGAAGGAAGUGGUUUGUGGGGGCUUUUAAAGGUACAGUUAUCGCUUUUCUAUAUUUAUUUUCAGCAUCAUUCAGUCCUCCUAUAUGAAAGAAAGAAAUGGUCUCGAUAGAGAAAAAGUUAUGCUGACUCUUUAAAUGAAGAAACUUGAUCCUCAUGUUACUCUUAACUGGACUUUUUUCCUCCUAAAUAUUCAUAAGGGAAACUAUCCCAUGAAGGCAACUAACUUUCUGGCAAUCUCUAUGAUGUGUCUAAUUCAGAACCCGGUGGGCUCUCCAUGCAUUAUUGGCAGCACUUUUAUCCAGGGGCACAGACAGGGAAUAGGGUUACUGGAAACAGGGAGUGUAGCUCAAGGAAUUGUUCUCUCUCUGGAGUGGAUAAGUUGUUUGACCUACUGACUCAUUUCAUAGGAAUUAGGAAAACAACCUAGUGUGGUUUUUAUUGUUAGUCCUGGAGGAUUCCAAAAUCUGUGUGCCUGCAAAUAAGAUGAGCUGGGGAAAGGGAGCACCAGCAUUUGGUGUUUCUACUUGCCUCUUUUCCUGAUGGAAUCCAAUCCUCUGCUUCCAGGACAAGUCCUGCGCUUGGGGAUCCUCUGUACGCCCGUUCACUGGUGAGUAUGUAUGACAGCAAUUUCUGAUUUCACUAGUUCUUGCUUCUAACACCUAAAUGGUGCUUUGUCUAGGGAAACGCUUUAAAGAGCAUUUUCCCCCAGUACGUUUAUAAUACAUUUCAUAUUUACCUCCAGAAAAUACUGUGGAUGUGAUAAUAAUUAUAAAAGACAACCCACAGACAACAAUGAAAGUUAAGAAUUAAGAUAUAUUCUGAUAGAUUUUUGCAGCAUAUUGACAUAAAGGCAGUUUUGGUUUUGACAUAUGUACACUAAAAUGAUAUCUGUAAUGCUAUUAAAACUCAAGUGUACAAGGCACCAGUAUAUUCUGGCAAAAAUAAUAUAAUGAUCAACAGUUAAUGAAAGACUUGUGCUUUGAGCUUCUAACAAAAUGUUAAUAUGUAGAGAAUCUUGUGAUUCAUGAUGCUUUGGUUCUCAACCAGGGUUAUCAAAUAAGCUAAAAGUAUCAGAAGAGGACAAAGAAAGUACGUAAAACAUGGAUAAAAGCAGAAACCGAGAAAAGAUAGCUUUGAUAUUUAAAGUGUUAGAUUAUGGCCUCUAUAUAAUGUCAUAUAUGCCAGAUCCCCCCCCAAAAUCACACCCUCAAAUUAUGAUCUUCAUUAUUCAAAAGAUGUUUGGCGUGUUGGUGGUACAGUGGUGAGCGUAGUUGCCUUCCAGAAGAUGGUUGGUGUAUAAUUACUAUAGAAUUUCUUGCUCUCUUGGGAGGUGGCUUAGUAGAAGGUUGAGUCAGGCAAGCUGGGGCUGUUUAUUCAGUGUGCUGUGCUGUGCUGUGCUGUGCUGUGCUGUGCUGUGCUGUGCUGUGCUGUGUCUGAAUGCCUGGGAGUUUGCGUUGUUAACCUUUCCAGGGUGCUAGAUCCCUUUGAGAUUAUGAUGGAAGCCAUGAAUCCUUUUCCCACACCUGUAUGCAAACAUGUGCCUGCCCAUUUACAGACCCAAAGAAGGACAUCCAUGUACCCCACGUUAAGAAGGCUGCCCUGGACUAAGCCCUCACUGUGACUCUGCUGUUCUUAAGCUUCCCAGGAAACACUGUUAUGUAAAAAGACGAGCCAUCCAGGUCAAAAAGAAGUCAUUGUGGUUGCUAGGUGGGGGUGCAAAGCCAAAGACAAAGGGUGGGGAAAAUACAUGACUAAUAAUAAAUAAAGAGCAUGGUUAAUACCAGAGUCUCCAAACUGAUAGCCCAGAAUCCCUCAACAUGUAGCCACGAGUAUUUGUAAAGUACGUUGUGAAUUCAGGUAGAGGGCCGAAGACUCAAUAUUAAGCAGUUGGGCAGAGUUUUCAUACAUAUAUUUGUCUCUGCCUUUUGCACAAUAUAAAACUAUGAAAUCUCUUUUCAUUUUUCUAUUGUGCACGCUACCACAUUAGGUAGGAAUCAAAAUCAUCUCAACUCCAGAAGUAUAAUUCAUAACAAUUAUAACAAAGCAGAAAAAUGAUUCUACAUUAGCAGAAGAAAUGUAGUAGGAAUAGAUUUAAAAUAGCAUGGUUGAGUACAAAAGAAACAUCGUUUUUUAAAAAAUGGCAGCCUUUAUCACUCAUCAGCUAAACUUAAAGUCAAUGCUGUGAGGCUGUUGCGGGAAAAAAAUAGUCAUGAUUCUUGGGUGUAUUAAAAGGAGUAUGACAUAGAAGGGUAAGAAAACAAGACGUAGUGUGUUUGUCAGACUCAUCAUUGUGUCCUGUUUGAGUCACACUUAAAAAAAGAAUUUGGACAAUUGUGAAAAGCUGAUACACAAGCAACAGAAAUUACACGCCCUUCCAGGAAAAGAUAAGGCAACUGAGGAUUUUAUUCCACACAAGGCUGGAGGAUUUUUUGCUAAUGGCCUUUAAGUAGUAACAGUCUGGUUUAUCCUUAUAUUCCUAGGGCCUUCCGCUCUGCCUGGUGCACAGUACUUGAGAUGAUCGUUGUGUUUAGUGAUAAUGAGUAAGGUUCCUGUGAGAGACUUAGCAGGAGUAAGUAGGUUCAAAUAAAACCAGCGAUAGUGUCAUGACAGACGGUAUAUAAUACAUGAAUUUGCUGGGUGAUUAAUACAUAAGGAUGACUGUCUCACUUGUGAGGAUGAUAUAAUACUUCAGCAGCUAACUGGGGGAAGCUACAAAAUCUUGGUUUGAUACCUCUUUCAGGAUGAAAGCAGAUAAGUCUGCUGGGGUGGUGGAAACAUUCAUUCAUUCAUUCUACAAACCCUGAGGGCCUACUUGGCUAGGUGCUCACGGUCUGGUAGAGGAGACAAAGAUACAAAAACAGAGUCACAGUGUGUAAUGAGUGCCAUGGGAGCAUAAAAACAGCAUGCGCAGGGCUUGUGACACUCAACCGCCACCCCGCGCAGCUUCCAAUGGAGGCAAAGUCACAAUUGACCCCAAUAGACAGGCUUGACAGAGUUAGUUGGAUGGGAGGCAGGUGGGGCAGCCUGUCCAGAGGCGCAGACCUGUGUGUGUGGGGAAGGGGUGAUGGGAGAUGCAGACUCGGCAGUGCUUGUUAACAGAGGUGUGAAUGCCGCGCCUUGCUUGCCUGAAGAUUUCCACCCAGGAUCCUGACAAAAGUCAGAUGUGCACUUCAGAAAGGCCAGGCGGGCUGCAGUGAAGAGAAUGACUCGAGGGGGUGCGGGUGUGGGACAGGCCAUCGAGGCAAGGAGGCCAAAUGGAAAGCUUUGGUCAGGACACAGGUGGUGAUGGAUUCGGGGGAGAAAUGGGGGAGGGUGACGCAGGCAGAGUGGCCAGGGUUAUCAAGUGGCAUCAUUCACCACAAAAUGCAGUCCAAGAGGAAGCCCAGCUGUGAGGGGGGGACAGGUGGGGCCCAGGUGUGAGGGGGGAUAGGUGGCAUUCAGACAUGUCAGUACACAGAGUCAAUGGCAGAGACAGAGCCAGUGGGCAGUUGCACCAUGUGGAUAAGGACUUGAGUGAGACCUGUCUCCAAAGCAGGGGAUCACUCUUCUAAUUUUUUAUAUGGUGUUUUUCAUUCUAUUCUGACUCAUUUGUAAUAAAACCUCCUUUGUUUUUUAUCAUAUAUAUUUCAGGUGUCAACAUGCUGGUUUGAUAUAACAUGUACAAAGCAAAAUAAUAACUUACACUCCAGCUGUGAGUGUACCAUCUCACAGUUACCUUUUUGUGCAUGUGUGUUAAGCCCACCUAAAAUGCACUUAGAAAUAUUCAGUAUCUUCACUGUGGUCAUGCUGUACUGCAGAUCUCUAGAUGUAUUCGUCUGACAUCAUUCCAGCUUUAUACCCUUUGACCCACAUCUCCCCAUCCCCCCAACCACCUCUCUCUGUUUCUAUGGACUGUAUUUGACUAUUUUAGAUUCCACAUAUUACCUCUAAUCCUCAAAGCUCUAUUAGGGUUUUGUGUAUUUCCUUCCAGCAUUUUCCUACAUACACACAAUUUGCAGAAUCAGCAUAAUUCUGUAUAGGUACUUUAUUUAUUUAUUUAUUUUGAGAUGGAGUUUCGCUCUUGUUGCCCAAGCUGGAGUGCAGUGGCACAAUCUCGGCUCAAUGCAACCUCUGCCUCCUGGGUUCAAGCAAUUCUCCUGCCUCAGCCUCCCAAUUAGCUUGGAUUACAGGCACGCGCCACCACGCCCAGGUAGUUGUGUAUUUUUAGUACAGACGGGGUUUCACCCUAUUGGUCAGGCUGGUCUCGAACUCCUGACCUCAGGUGAUCCACCCACCUCGGCCUCCCAAGGUGCUGGGAUUACAGGUGUGAGCCACCACGCCCAGCCUGUAUAGACACUUUCCUCUUUUUUUUUUUUUUUUUUUGAGACGGAGCCUUGCUCUGUCACCCAGGCUGGAGUGCAGUGGCGCAGUCUCGGCUCACUGCAAACUCCACCUCCCGGGUUCAUGCCAUUCUCCUGCCUCAGCCUCCCAAGUAGCUAAGACUACAGGUGCCCGCCACCACGCCCGGCUAAUUUUUUGUAUUUUUAGUAGAGACGGGGUUUUACCAUGUUAGCCAGGAUGGUCUCGAUCUCCUGACCUCGUGAUCUGCCCGUCUCGGCCUCCCAAAGUGCUGGGAUUACAGGCUUGAGCCACCAUGCCCGGCCUGUAUAGACACUUUCUAUCCCACUUUUAAAACAGGCAUGUUCUCCCUAUGCUUUAAAAUGCCUUUAAAAUAUUUCUAAUGGUGCUAAUUCUCUAAUUUGGGAGUGUCUAAUUUGCUUCCAGUUUUUAAAAACUAUUUUUUAUUAUAGUAAUUAACCUUUUAAAUACAUGAAUCUUGGGCAUAUUUUUAAUGAUUUCCUUAGGAGAGAUUCCUUACAGUGAAUUUCUUGAGUAAAAGGAGGUUAACUGUAAGAUUCUUGAUAUACCUUGCUAAAUUGUUUUCUAGAAAGCUUGAACCAAGUUCUGCACAUUUUAGCAAAGUAUGAAAUGUCCUUCUCUCCAUAUCUUCAUCAGCAUUGAGUGUUCUCUCUUUUUUAUCUUUAGACAAAAAGGUUACAUUCUUUUUGGUUCAUCUACUCAGAAGCUAUUUAAUGAAUGUUCACUCCAUGUCAGGCAUGUGGCAUGUUUUCAUCUCUACCAGUAACGCUGAACUUUCUUCUUGUGUGCAUCAGCCUGUUGUUUUCUUUUGUAAAUGUUCUGUUCGUGUCCAUUAUCAACUUUUCUACUAGGGUGUGACUGUUUCUAUGAUAUAUUUAUAACGAUGUGUGUGUGUGUGUGUGUGUGUAUACGAUAUUUGGGGUAAAUACUUUUCCCAGCUUCUUUGACUUUUAAUUUUGCUUAUACUUUAUUGGAAAUACAGAACCUUUAUUUUAUUAUUAUUAUUAUACUUUAAGUUCUGGGAUACAUGGGCAGAACGUGCAGGUUUGUUACAUAGGUAUAAACGUGCCAUGGUGGUUUGCUGCACCCAUCAAACCACCAUCUACAUUAGGUAUUUCUCCUAAUGCUAUCCCUCCCAUAGUCCGCCACCCACCAACAGGCCCUGGUGUGUGAUGUUCUGCUCCCUGUGUCCAUGUGUUCUCAUGAGAACCUUUAUAUUUUAUGUAGUGGAGUAAGUUAUUUUAUCUUUUUUUUUUUCCUGUGUAACUUCUGUUACCUCAGGCUUAGGAAUUCCUUCCUACCCAGAAGUUAGAAAAUAUUCAUCUAUUUUUUUUUAAAGUUUCAUUUUUAACAUUAAACUCACCAAAUUAGAAGUAAGAUGUGGCCAGGCACAGUGGCUCACACCUGUAAUCUCAGUGCUUUGCGGGGGCUAAGGUGGAAAAAUCACUUGAGGCUAGGAGUUCAAGACAAGCCUGGGUAACACAGUGAGACCCCACCUCUACCAAAAAAUUUAAAAAUUAGGCAGGCAUGGUAGCAUGUGUCUGUAGUCCUAGCUGCUUGGGAGGCUGAGGUGGGAGGAUCACUUCAGCCCAGAAGCUUGAGGCUGUAGUUAGCUAUUAUCAUGCUAUUGCAUUCCAGCCUAGGCAACAGAGCAAGAACCCUGUGUCUUUAAAAAAAAAAAAAAAAAAAGUGUGAAACAAAGAUCCAAAUGGACUUUGUUUCACAAAGUAAAUCCCCCAUCAUGUUUUGAGUCAUGUAUCUUUCCCUAUUUAAUUUGUGGUGCUUCCUUUAUUUUAUAUUUCAAGACUUUUUGCUAUUAUAUCCAGCGGUAGGAGCCCAUGAACUUGUUGGAUAUUGGUAUGCACAGAAGAUGCGGUAAUACUUUUUUCCAAUAUUUUAUUAUGAAAAAUACACUGGCUAGAUUCUAUAAUUAAUAUUCUGUCACUUUACCAUCUAUUCACGUAAUAAUUCUUAAACUUCUCAAAUCAUUAUUUGAAUUUCAAAGUGGACUAUCAAAGACAUUUUCUCUAACCCUAUUUUUCUCUAAUUUGCAGUUUUGAUUUCCAGGAAGCCUUUAGCAAUUUAUAUUGUUAGUACAGUAAGAGAGUAAACAACACACUAAAAUACCAAGAGAAACUACUUUCCAAAACAUGUUUUAGUCGUUUAACUUUAUGAAUAUGGCUAGCAAGGGGGCUUCCUGGGGGACAGUGCUGGGGAAAGAGCAGGCCCUAGGAAUGGGCUUUGAAAGAAGACUUUUGCCACCGUCAGGUCACAUUUGCAAGAGGCCAUCGUCGUGGUCUGCCAGGGAACCCUUAGCAGAAAGGCUGCUUUGCCCAGGAUCUGGCUUGCCGCCCCAGACCAGCCCUACCGCUGUCUGGCAUUGAAUGUCCCUGGUCCGCAGUGAGUGGCCAGUUGCAUAGACCUUAGAUCAAGGAGCUUAGUCACCUCUUUCCAGCCUAAAUCAUGAGCACCCUAAAUUCCCAUGGGUUGUUGAGACCUAAUAGCAUCCUGGCUUAGAGAUGGGAUUGCAGCUGGGUCUGCACAGGAAACUGGCCUACUGUGUCUGCCUCUUGGUGCAGCAUACAACCAGCCACAUGGAAAAACCCAGCCUGCAAUAAAAGACUUGCUUUGGUCACCACCUGACAUUAGCUGUGGUUUAAUCUGUGUAAUGUUUUUCUUCCCCCCCAUCUAAGCCUCAAUUUCCUAUCCAUAAAAUAUGUUGGUUUUGGCCAGGCGUGGUGGCUCACGCCUGUAAUCCCAACACUUUGGGAGGCCAAGAUGGCCUGAUCGCCUGAGGUCAGAAGUUCAAGACCAGCCUGGGCAACAUGGCAAGACCCCCCCCCUCUACUAAAAAUACAAAAAACUAGCUGGGCGUCAUGGCACAUGCCUGUAAUCCCCGCUACUUGGGAGGCUGGGGCAGGAGGCAGGACAAUCGCUUGAACCCGACAGGCAGAGGUUGCAGUGAGCCGAGAUCGUGCCACUGCAACUCUAGACUGGGCCAUGAGCGAGACUCUUUCUCAAAAAAAAAAAAAAGUUGGUUUUAUUAGAUUACAGAGAAUACUUUCUCUAUCCAAAAUCUGUGAUUUUAAUCUAGAACACUGAAUGUAGGUCAGUAUCCACCCCAUUUUCAGAAAUCUGGGAAGAUCUUUUUUUGUUUUUCAGCUUCUCAGAAUAAAUACUUUCUAGGAUGUUACAAACAUGGAUGAAGUUCACCAGAACAGAUCCAGGGUUAACCUUUUAAAGUCAUUAGAUAUGGCUCCAGUAAAAGGCAUGAGAAGGCACCCGUGAGACCCUGCAGAGGAAGCCUCACUCCUGGGCAGCCUUACGGCUGACGAGCUACCUUACUGAGCAUAUUCCUGCCUCUACACCAGAGACUCACUCUGUGGUCCGGUGUCACCUCGAUUCUAAAUUCCCUGCUUCCUGGUGAAUGAUGCUAUCACACUUUAGAAACCUGGCCAAUAAAUGCUUUGAAAUUUAAGGAUAGCUAUCCUGAAAAAAUUUAAUAUAACCUAAAUUGAUAGUCUAAUGACAUCAGUAUUCAGAAGAGGCAUUCUAUUUCAGCAAGUGGUUUUCAGAAAAAAAAAAAAAAUAAAUAACCUGAGUUUUUCCCCUGCCACUCUCCCCUCUUGCUUUUAUGCUGCAAAAAGAGCUUGUGGCUUGCCUGACACACCGUGUUGUUCUCUGCCUUCGAAGAUCUAGCUCCCUCAGCCUCCCCACGUUGUCCACCUCUCCAAUACCAUUGCUCCACUGGGAAGCUGGCCCGGAGGUGCUCUACCACGUUCAUCUCUCGCAGCCCAGGGCUGUCUUUAACGUUACAGAGACACAGAUAUCAAAGUGUUGCAAUUUAUUUGGCUUUCAUUAAUUUGCCGGAAGCAAGGGAGGGUAGAUACAAAGUACUCCUCUAACCUGUUAUUUUCCUUGCUGUUAAAAUGUAAAGAAGACUGAUGUAAGAAUCUCUGCCUUCCACCAGUCAUAACCAUGGUAUGCACAGAGCUUAUGAAUCAUCUUCUAAAUUCACAGCUAGUUUUAAAAUUUAGCUUCCAGGCUAGAUCUGCAGGAAAUGAAUGUUUUAGAUAGAUCACGGGUGUUUUCCAGUAUGCAUUUUUAGUGCACUUACUUAACUGAGAGCCCUCUCAUAUGAAACUGGAAUGUCACCACCAUGUGAUAAAGCGUAGACUAGCUGUGACCUAAUACGUACUGAUCAUGACUAACGCAGAAGUCCAGGUCACUGCGGUUGUAUUUCCUGUGGCCUCAAUGUUCUGGGGUUAGGGUUAACAGGGAUAAUUCAUUUCUGUGUUCAAGUCUCUAAUUCUUCCAUCAUGUAAACUGUAAGUGGGAGCAGACUGGAUUCAGCAUUGCUACAAGAGAAAAACAACAAAUAGGAACACCACCAACACCAUGUGUUGGGAGCCCCAUGUGCCAGGCACUGUGCCAAAUACUCGAUAUUGAUUAUCUCUUUUAAUACACAAUCCUGUGUGGCAGAUCCUACUAUGAGACCCAUUUUACAGAUAGACAACUGAGGCUGGGGGAAGUUGGAAAUGGAGGAGCCAGGAUUCAAGUCACAGCAGUCUGGCUCCUGCGCCCAAGCUUUUAAUUUGUAUCCUAUUCACUUUUCAUAAAUAAAUGACUCGUGUUGGAGGUGUUUGUAUCCUUGGGGCCACUCAGUUUUAUUCAGCCAGCUUUCCUUGGUUGUGGUUUUAAUGUGUUAGGGAAGAAUGAAUGUAUUCCCCACAGCUGGGCAUCUUUGUGCUGGAUCACCUGGCCACAGCUCAUGAAUAGUGCAGAUUAUCACACCCCACCCCCAUGACUCCAGCAAAUGUGCUGUGGGUAUAGGAGAGUAUGUUCAAAAAAGGCAAUUAACAAAGCAACUGUCCCAACUACCAAGAAAAACAAAUGUGGCAUAACCCAUGAUAGAACCCUCUUUUUUCCUUAUUAGACAUGAAUAGAAGCUCAUUAAUGCCGUCCAGUAAGUUCAAGCCGCAUAACUUACAUACACUGUCAGGACCCAGAAAGAAACCUGUUGUCUUGUGAUGUUAUUGUUGCUUGGUUGACCUCAUCAUGUCUUGACAGGGCUCAAGACACCCUUCAUGAUCUGGUCUUACCUCUCAGGACUCCCCCCAUCCUUACCAUUGUUUGUUGAUCUCUGGUGCAGCCAAAUGAAGCCCAUCAUGCUUGUCCUCUGCCUGGAAGCUCUUCCUUCCCUCUUCCUGGCCAAUGGCUACUGUCCCUUCAGAGCACCUGUUCAGAUGAAACCUCCACCAGGCAGCCUCUGCUGACUCCUAAGGGCUGGGCUAGGUGCCCCUUGGGUGCUUCCACAGCCCUUUCUGCUUACCCAGUUGUACAUGUGUCAUACUGUGUUCUGUAAUUCCUCUUUUUGUCCAUCUUCCCUGGCUUGCAUUGACCCCUUAAAAGCCAUGAUUAGGGCCGGGCGCCGUGGCUCACGCCUGUAAUCUCAGCACUUUGGGAGGCCGAGGCAAGUGGAUCACAAGGUCAGAUCGAGACCAUCCUGGCUAACGUGGUGAAACCCCAUCUACUAAAAAUACUAAAAUUAGCUGGGUGUGGUGGCACACGCCUGUAGUCCCAGCUCCUCGGGAGGCUGGGGCAGGAGAAUUGCUUGAACCCGGGAGGCGGAGGUUGCAGUGAGCAGAGAUUGCGCCACUGCACUCCAACCUGGGCAACAGAGCGAGACUCCGUCUCAAAAUAAAACAAAACAAAAUCAUGAUGCCAUGAUCAGUGUUUACUUUUGGAUAAACACCCGGACACAUGAUAGAGAAUAAAUGUUUGAGAGAGAGAAAUGACCUACUGGGUAACACCAAAAACUAAUGUAUACCAUGUCUAGUGUUUACAGUUUACAAGAUGCUUUCACACACAUAACUUCAUUUGAUCCUCCCGGCAACUCUGCAAAAUAGAUUUCUGCAGCCCUGUUGUACUGACCAGGAAACAUCAGCCUGCCCUGAUGGCAGGGAUGUGGUUAGCAGGUGGAAAGCCAGGACUCAGGCUCAGGUCUUCGAACCCAGAUUUUAUGCCCUAUGUACCGCCAUGUGGAUAUUCUCAAGGCAACUCUCUGAAAUAUUUCCAGAAUCUUUCACAAAAGUCCUGUGUCGUCCUUGUCCUGGCCAACUAGACUCAGAGGGAGGACUGAUGGAUUUUCAUCUCCCUCUUCCCCUUCGUCUUUUCUUCUCAGCAUCUUCCUACCCUCCCCACCACCGCGCUUCUCCACCAAAAGUCUGAUGCUGGCAUGUAAUGGACCCUUUCCAAGUUUCAAGGUGUUGACAGUAAAUCUUUUGUAUUUAGACCGGGCCGGCUGCUUUCCUUUUCUUGUGGGUAGAACUCUGGAAAAGUGGAGGGGGGUGGGUGGGGCUUCAGGUAAAGUACGUCAGCAAAUUGGAUAAGUCGGAUCUUCGUUGUGUGAGUGGGUAAGAGAUGAACUGGGGGGAGGGGUGUGUGUUUGGGCAGUGAGCAAGCCGGCAAGAGAAUGUGAGUGGGCGGCCAGUUGGUUGGCAAGUGAGAGGCUGUGGAGAGGUUGCUGCUGGGACGGGCUGUGCAAUUAAACAGUUGAGCAGAUCUUAAUAGCAGACUGGGGCGGUGCUCUCCGCAGGCCUGCGGGGAGCAGGGAGCAGGGGAAGCAAGCGAGCUGGAAGCAUCUUCGGGCACAGAGCUAGAUACGAAUUUCAGAAGCACAUAACCUGAGGAAUAGAAUGCAACCAGAGGAGGGAGAAAUAGAGAUUCCAGGCAGCGUUUCCUAAACUUAAAAAGUUUUGAAUACCCAGUUUUGCCUUGUUCUGGGGACCUCUGGCAAUGUUGUUCAAGGGAGGAAUUUUUAAUUUCAUAGAAAAGUGAAUUUUACCACCACAAGAGAACAUGAGACCAAGGUCAUAAAUCCCUUUGUUUGGAGUGUCCGUUCUGAACUCCUUGUAUACUUUUAUUUGCAGGAAGAGGCUAUACCAGCAAGUAUUAUGGUUUUACUGGGUGGGGCGGCAAGGCCAGGAAGAGAUGGAGAUGCUGUUAAAGGUCCUUGCUCCAGAACAUUCAGAGAUCAGAGGAACUCAAGAGGUCAAAGUAGGCUGAUGUCAUUGUUCAUCCAUUUAUUCAGCAAAACUUUCUUGAACACCUACUGUGUGCCAGGCACUGGUUGGCAGUGAGGUGAAGACGAUAGUGAUGAAAACAAAGGCAUGGUCUCUGUCAUCAUGGAACCUAAGUAAACACAUACCAAAAAAAAUGGCCCAAGAAAAAUCAUGCCCUGAGGGGAAGGCACUCAGAUGAAAAGGACCUUCUUCCCAGUGGUCCCCUGAGGAGGUGAUUUCCAAGGUCUCAGCUAAGGGAUGAGCAGGAAUGUGUGGGUGCAGGGGGUAGGGGUGAGAGCUCUCGGCAUAGAGAGAGCAGCACAUUUCAAAGGCCCUGGAGUGGGGAAGGAGGUGGCAGGUGCAGCUGUGUGGUGGCUACUUCCACUUCUGGAGUGCAGUAGCAUGAUCUCGACUCACUGCAACCUCUGCCUCCCGGGUUCAAGCAAUUCUCCUGCCACAGUUUCCCAAGUAGCUGAGAUUAUAGGUGCAAGCCACCACGCCUCGCUGAUUAUUACAUUUUUAGUAGAGACGGGGUUUUACCAUGUUGGCCAGGCUGGUCUCGAACUCUGUCUCCUGGAACCUCUUGAUGAGCCCCUGUGAGGUUCCCCAGCCCAGGGCAUCCCCCCAGGUAUUCAGGAGAGACCCGUCCCCAAGAGACUGCCUGCUACUUCCUCUUCCUAUGAAUGUCACUGUGAGGGGAAUAAAUAAGGAUAGACCAGAAAAGCAAAUUGUAAGAAAUUUGAAACCAGUUGUCAGUUUUCAGGUGCCCAGGAGCAUGACAAUAUGCCCGAGGGACCGUAACAGGACUUGACAUGGAGCUGGGUCUAAAGCAGAUGACCUGGUGGCUGCAGCGUGUUCCACACAGGCGAGCACUGUGAGGCCAAAGGACUGGUGUUGAGCAGAAUGAAAAAGCACAGUGUUGGUUAAUCCUGAAAAGUGAAGCCUGCAAGAAAUGAACUUCGACCUUGGAGUGGGGGUGGGACAGGGGCUAGAAGGAAGAGAGGCUCGGAAGUGUGUUGUGUAAACGUGGUUCUGUUUUGUCUAAUCUUUUACUACCUGUAGGGACAGGUGGAUGCAGUGGAGCUGCUGGCAGGAAAGGUGGAGUUUUUUCAAGGUCACGAGUUAAGCAAUAGAGUAGAAUAUCUUUGCAGCUGCAAGAGGAGGUGCGAGCAGCUUGUUCACAAGGUAUAUUUUGCAGGAGUUUCCCCUUACAAGAUCUUAUUUGCUUGAGAGUAGCGUUAAGGAUUUCUGUGCCAACAGUUAGCUGGAUCUCUGGGGUUGAAUCGUUAUCACCAAUCUAUAGUUAAAAUAAGCAUUAAAAAAAAAAAGGAGUCUACUUUCAAAGUUUUCCCGAAGUGCCAGUCUGAAGCAGCUACCUUUAAAAGCUGUUCUUGAAUAAUAGGUUGCUAUAUCCUAGUCUGUAAUCUUGGACUAAUGUCUGAGGAAGGAAAAAAAAAAAAAGAAUAUUCUCUCUUUGUCCGAUUAAGAAGUGGAGGUAGACAGCGAUUCGACAUGUUGUAUGGGCGAGGCUGUGCUGAGCUUGCGUCUGGGACAAUGACCAGACAGAUGAAAGGAGAAGUGAGAGAUAUUUUUAGCACAUCAGGACUGCUUUGAAACAUUGAUUUUUUUUCCAUCUCCUCCCACCCCCCAUAAUUCCAGCAGGAAGAUUCAGUGGCAGGCACUUUAAUUCAGUGUAAAAACAUCUUCUAUAUUACACACUAAAAUAUUCAUGAGGAAAGGGAGUUGCUGAUUUUAAGGCGUAGCUUUAAAACCCACGUCUGUCGGCUUGAUGGUCAGUGUCCCGCCACACAGUCUGGAAGUGUGACGUGGCCAAGGAGGACCCCCAGAAGGAUCCUGUGUCUUCCGUGGGGACUACUCCUUUCCUCAGAGGAGCGGGUUCACAGGAAACUGGAGCAGAAGGAUGCCUUUAGCCCCACUCCUGUUGGUCCUCAGUCCCUUCUCCUUUGAUCAGGUGGUUCAAGCACGCCUUGAAGUUCCGGUGUUCAAACAACGUGACCUCUGCAAUUACGUUCUAAUACUUGUCGGUGCCCAACUUAAACCACUAGCAAUGUUAGUUAAAAACAUCAGGGAGGCCGGGCGCGUGGCUCAUGCCUGUAGUCCCAGCACUUUGGGAGGCCUAGGCGGGCAGAUCACUUGAGGUCAAGAGUUCGAGACCAGCCUGGCCAACAUGGUGAAACUCUGUCUCUACUGAAAAUACAAAAAAAGUUAGCCAGGUGUGGUGGCGGGUGCCUGUAAUCCCAGCUACUUGGGAGGCUGAGGCUGAGGCAGGAGAAUCACUUGAACCCGGGAGGCAGAGGUUGCAGUGAGCUGAGAUCGCGCCACUGCAGUCUAGCCUGGGUGACAGAGACAAAACACAAAACAAAACAAAACACCUCAGGAGGCUGUAAAUCAAGCACAACUGAAGCAAAGAUAAAAACGGGCAGUCUCAGAAUCACCUUUGAAGGUGGAAGGAAGGGCGUUUGUGUGUGACAAGAAGAGUGUACGUUCAUACAAGGGUUUUUACUCCUCCUCUGAAAAGUCCUGCUUGGUGGCUGGCCAGUUUGUCAUGCUUGGCUGCCCAAGCAAGUGGUGGCAGUCGGAGCACAGGAGAAAGCCGCAGGGGGUGAGGAAGAAGUGCUGGAGAGGGCGCUCCACCUUUCGGCUGCCCUGACCUGUCUCCAGCCCCAGGGCAUGUGGUUCUGGGCCGGGCACUGGCCCCCUCUCUGUGGACUGUACCAGGCAGCGGGUAGUGCACAAGCUCUGAGGUCAGGCCACCUGGGCCUAAACUCCAGCUCUGCUCCUUGCUAGCAGUGUGACUCUGGGCACGUUCAAGUUACUUCAUGCUUUGUGCCUCAGUUUCCUCAUCUGUGAAAUGGGGAUGGUAACAGGACCCUCAUCCCAGGACUGCUGUGUGGAUUGAAGUGCCUGCAACGGGAUUUGUCUUUUCUGGGAUCGCGGUGGAUGCUCUAUUCCAGGUGAGGGAGUCUCUUGCUUUCUCCUACCUCUUGCAGCCGCUUUGCCUCUGAGUGGCAAAUAGCAAGUGGCUGAAAAUCACAAUGAGCCCGUCAGAGAAUGGGGAUGGGCCACAAGGCCACAGUCGGAUGGGUUCUCCAUGCCCUCGACUAUGCAGCGGGGUCAGGGCAUCCCUUCCUCCUGGGGUGCCCACACCAUUCCCUUGGAAGUUUAGACAGCAGCCCUUGCCUCGCCAGACGCAGCAACCCCUCCCAGCUACACGUGGAAUCUGUGGCCCAGCCUCCCUCAGAUGACCCGCAUUGCCUGACAGAGACCAGGGGCCCUGAGGGGUGGCUGUCGCUGGCCUGGGACAGGGUCCCUGCAGGUUUUCAGGGUCCUCAGCAGCAUUCGCCAGCGUCGGGUCAGACUGAGUCAUGGGGCCCGAGCUCUCCACGAGUUGGUUCUCCAGUUGGUUCUCGUUGGGGGUAAUGCCCUUCAUCGAACCGCUUCAUCCCCAGCCUGUAUUGUCUCCGUCUCUUCGCAGUUGUCAGAGGGCUCGGCCGCCACCCUGAAACAGCCCAGAGCUCUCUGAAGAGCACGAGCUUUUACGCUUCUCUCCCCAAAUCAACUGACUUUUUCAUUGCUUCUGUGGAGGCUUUCUGUGGGAGAAAAGCGUGUUUAUGGGGCAAGCUCAGAGAGCUCCUGUCCCCGUGGUGGAAUUUUUUUAGUGGCUCUGCCCACGUGGUGGUGAGCGCCGGUGAGGAUGGGACGCAUUUUCUGCUAAAAUGGCUGUGCGAGGCUGCCACCUCGUGGCCAGCACAAGGCAGUGAGUGUGUCCCUUGCUGGAGCUUCUGGGUGAAAUAAACUCAUUUUAAAGGUCUUCAGCAAGGACCUCACUCCCUCACUCUCUCAGUGUGCAUAUCAUUCCAGCUCCAGGGCUUAAUGCGUCUGUUGUGGCAUCUCUCAAAUCUGUACUUUGCUAUCUCUUUGACUACAGAGUCACUACCUUCCGAUAAGCCCUUCUGCUGUCUCCAGACCGAUCCUUCUAAAGCGUAGAUGUCAUUGUCUUUCUCUCAUUAAAGCUCUUUCAUGGCUCCUCAUUUUCCAGGUUCCAGCUCAUGUCUCAGGAGGCCGCUAAGCCCACUCCUCUGCCCCAGCCUGUGUCUGCGCACGUCUCUUCUCCCUUCCUCCUGGUUUCCUCUGGCUGAUACCUGCUCACCUGAAAGUCAUCUCAGGUGCCACCUCCUCCAGGGAUUCCUCGCAUUAGAUUAGCUUCCUUCUUCCCCAUUCCUAGCUGACUUCCUUCAUUAUGCCUCAGAUCCUUUUUUUGGAAGAAAAAGAAAGAAAUGGAAGACAGACUGGCCAGCAGGGGGAGAGAGAGGGAGGGAGGGCAUAUCAGAGAAUUCAAUAUGCUGCGUUUUAACCAGAUACUUUUCUUCCUCUCCCACAAGGCAUCAGAGUAGAGACUGCCUUUCAUCUCUCUCCCCCUUGUGUAAUAGCACAGUGUCUGGCAGAUAACUGUUGCUUGCUAAUUAUUAGAAGGAAGAAAGGGAGGGAGAAUAAAAGCCAGCAUCACCAUGUGAUCUUCCUAAGUGCGACAGAUGUGAGAAAAGAACUACCUUAAGCUCCAGGGGCCCUAGAGGAACGGCGCUGCGUGCUAGUGCAGAUGGUAGCAAACGCUCUCACCUGGCUUGGCAACACUUCUUCACCUCUUCUUUCUACCACCACAGCGACUGUCUCCCUCCAGCCCAUCCUACUGCCAAAUUCAUCUUCUAUUAAGCAUAGCUUCAAUCACAUCAUUUCUUUAUCAAAACACUUCUACAGAGGAGUUCCAAAUGCUUUAGCCG